CUCCAUGCGGGCCUCGGCCUUCUUGAGCACGUUGUUGUUGAAGGCGCCGCAUAGGCCACGCUCGCCGGUGAGGACGACGAUCGCGACGCGCUUGACGGCGCGCUGGCGGGUGAGGGGCAGGUCGAUGUCCUCCGACUGGAUCUCCUGGUUCAUGUUGUAGAGCACCUCCACCAGAGCCUCCGAGAAGGGGCGGGAGGAGACCACGGCCUCCUGCGCGCGACGGACCUUGGCGGCGGCCACCAGCUUCAUCGCCUCCGUGAUCUUCUGCGUGUUGCGGACAGAGUCGAUGCGGUUGCGGAGGUCCCGGAGGGAGCACCGCACCACCAGGCUGCUGCCGGUGGAGGCGCGGCGGCGGGUGGAAGUGCUGGCAAGCGCGGAUGAGGACCACGCGGUGGAGAGGCGGGAGCACGACAUGGCUGGCUAGCGGCUGGGGCGUCACCGGCGGCCGCAGAGGCGGAGGCGGAGGCGGAGAAAGGAGAAAGGAUGGGAGGGAGGGAAAGAUUUUGGAUUGGGUUUGGGUGGAGAAGUGAGCAGGUGGGGUUUUCAAGCCGGGCUGAGUGGUGGAGGGCUAGUCACUGCGAGAUUGCCACGGAUCAUGUGGCGCGCCCUGGCCGCCUACCCUGCACCUUGCCUGCUUCCAUUUCUCUAUUCAUAUUAUUAUUUUUUGCCUUGCCAAAUAAAUAAAACUCAUAAAACUACAGCGAGAAGGGAACUUCUCUAUGGGAGAGGACAGGAGUGGAUACACUGCGGAUAUACUACAGUAGAUACUUACCCCAAGUGAAUCAAAAUUCGAAUUUUCUUUUUCAUACAAAAAUCUUGUAAAAUUCCACAGUUGGAAAAAGGCCAGGUGCAGCAUACCGAUAUUAUCCGGUGAUACAAGCAUAUAUAGGCUUGAUGAUGAAAUGCAAACAACUUUAUAAAGGAAAAGCACUGAUCCUCCUAAUCAGUCAGCAGGCUGAGGCUCUUGGCUGGAAGGUUUGUACACACUGAAGUCGCCGAAAUCCCUUCUUCCACUGCAAAGAAAAUUCUCGGUAAAUGAAUAUCUUGAUUUCAAAUGAAAAAAAAAAAUUGGAGGAAAGAGCAUCACGAUUCACAGAGAGAGGGAGAGGGAGAGAGAGCGAUCGAACUUCUAAGGCCACUGGUACAGGUAGGGCGGCCAUUCCAAGCACAAACAAGUUUCAUGUGUUGAGCAAUUAACCAACCAAGCAGCAAAAGGUGAUCCUUUUUUACCUGUGCUUUAUAUUCCAACCAGAAGGGAGAUAACGGGGGUGAACCGCUUCGACAAAAACAUGCCUCCAUCUUUGGCAAAACUGGUGAACAGCCUCCUCCCCACCGUUGGUCAGCAAAAGCUCGACGACUUGUUUACCAUGGUGCCCGUGUCCUAGAAGUGAUAUCUUCUUGUCAGCAUUUUUGGAAAUAGUUUGGCUAGAAUUGUCACUGCUGGCUGGAUCCUCGUCGAGAUGGCCAUUUUCCUGAGUACCACUUGGUCGCUGCAUGCCAUCUGACCCAAGCUUCUCCGUGUUAGGGUCACAAGUGGAAUCAUCUAUACUGGCUGACAAACUUGCACUCUGGAUCACAGUUAAUUCUUCGGCCUGGAUAUUACACCCAGUCCCGUCAGCAUCUUGUUGACCACUGCUCCCAUUCCCAUCUUCUGAAACUUGCUCUGAUAAAGCAUGCCUAUUUUCUGAAUCAUGCGCCAUGUCUUCUAAGAUGGCCUUGUUGCUGCUCUUUCUUACAAUGUUUUCAGUCUGGGCUCUAAAAGAAUGAGGAUACCCUUUUUUCUUUUCAAGCCUCCUUCGCUCUUGGGGGCUCAUACCUACCAGUAAUGCCAUCUCCAGGUCUUCGGGAGUCACAUCCCUACCACCGUAGUAUGACUUCACAGUCUGCAACGAAAUGAAUGUAUCGGUAACACAGAUCUACCGCUAAGAACCAAUACAUUUUUAAUCAGGAAAAAAAUAGGGUCUUUUACAUUUGUGUCCCUAACUCGAACCCACGUAGUACAGGAAUAUUGACCUGUUGUCCAUCGACUACNAAUUUUAAAGCAUGCUCAAAUUUGCCCUUCUGCUGUUAUGUGACCUUACAGAAAUGCCCUUCCAUGCCGUUUCCGUCCAGUCAAAGGCCUCUGACCGUCUACCGGACGUUUCCUGGACAAUUUGCCCCUGCCUCCAUGUGUCACUUACAUGUGGGACCCACUCAUAAAAAAAUNGGUCAUUGUUCUAUUAUUUUCUUAAAUGUUGUUUACUGAUUUAUUUGAUGAGUGGACCCACUUGUCAGCUUCUGUAAAGUGAGUGUUAAUUAAAACUAAUAAGGGUUUACGGUAAUCUGGGAUUAGGCUAAUUAAAAACACGCCGGUGCCCACGCAUGAAGACACGGCGACCAUGUACGGGAGGACCCCGGAGCUGUCGAGCGGCUGCAAAAUCGGGCUAGCGAGGAUGCGAGAGAGAAGAUUCAGUGGCCUGAGGUGGCUGGAGAGUGGGGUGCCCAAUGUUAGAGUUAUAAUAUAAGUCAUGUACCCCUUUGUAUUUAUCCCAUUGUAUAAGGGGUUUCCUGCAUAUGUUCCAACCUGUACAUGUAUAUAUAUCGGCCUAUGGCCUCAUGGGAAUACAAGUUGCUUAUUUCUAACAUGGUAUUAGAGCAUUAGGUUUUUUCUCUCCGCACGCGCAACUCGUGCUCUGAUCCAAUCUUCACGCAGCCGCCGUCUGUCUGCUGCUGCCGGAUCUCGCUGCUACCUCUCGAUCUCCUCCUAUGGCUGCUUCUCGCUCUACAGCAGGUGCCGGAUUGAGCCACCCAAGCCGCCGGAUCCAGCCCCUGCCUCGUCCUUGCUGGAUCUCGCUACCCCAUCUGCCAGAUCACCAGUGCUGGCCAGAUCGAGAUAGCACCAGCGCGCAGUAAGCAUCCUCGUCUGCCUCAAGGACCUCCCCGAGAUCGUCUACUGCAUCCUCCACCACCUCCGCGGCAUCCGCGGGCUCGGCAAGUCUGACCGGGAGGGCUUCUACGCCGCUGCGCUCUGACAGGUUCGGCUGCCUCAAGGACCUUCCCAAGAUCGACUACCGCCGGGUCCUUCUCCUGCUGCUGACUCGAUCUGCAGUCCUCCUCAUCUUCACGUGUUGCAUCAGCCGCUCCACCAGCAUAUGCCGCGUCUGCACGUCGUCAUGCUCCAGGGCGUGCGGUUUUGCACUCCCGAUCGGAUCUGGUUUUCCCUGGUCGUUGACCUCUAAGAAAAUGGUCUACACCAACACGCAACGUUGCAGUCCCUUGCUUCCCGUGACUCCUGACGGUUGUGUUGGUAGUUCUUCUGUUGCUCCUGCAAGCUCUACAUAUGGUAAUUGUCGCUCUACACCGACUCCUCUCACGACUUUCAUCGGUGCAUGUCGCUCUUCCCAGACACCUCUUGCGACUUUCACCGGUUGUCAUGGUGCCUAUGACUCCAUGGACUGCUCUUCGUCCACGCGUCUUCCCUUGGCGCUUGGUGCUUGUCUGCACACGGCCUUGUCUUCUUCACCGGUCUUUGCCGACGAUACUGGACAUGCUACACCGCCACAUUUAGCGGCUUCCACAGGUGGUGGUGGUUGCUUCUCUCCUCGUGCCAUUACGCCGCCUACUUCAGCUGUGUUCUUCACCGAGGACGAGAUUGCGCGACUUCGCGCCGUGCUGCUUGCCUUCGACUCUCCGUUGUCGGGUGUGUCUACAUCGACAUCUUCAGUUGCGCCCUGACUGAGCAGGAGAUUGGACGAUUUCAAUGUCUGCUAGCUCCAUCUGUUGUUUCUUCAUCGACAGGUUCUGUUGGUUCUGCUACGGACUCUUCUGGCAUUGUGAGACCACCUUCUACCCACACAGGUACAUCUCUGUGGGUUCUUGAUACUGGAGCAUCUUUUCAUAUGACUCCUGAUUCAUCCACUCUAUCAUCUACUCGACCUCUUGAUUCUCCUGUUCGUGUUCUUACUGCUGAUGGUACUUCUCUCCCGGUUACUGGCCGAGGCACUCUUAGCACUUCAUCUUUUCAUGUUCCCGAUGUUGCUCAUGUUCCUCGGCUUACCAUGCAGCUCCUUUCUGGUGGCCAGAUUGUUGACUCUGAUUGUCGGGUCAUUCUUGACUUUGACUCAUGUUCAGUUCUGGACCGUCACAUUGGUGCUCUUCUUGGUGCUGGCCCCCGGCGCCGUGACUCUCAGGGUCUCUGGGAGCUUGACUGGCUUCACCUUCCAUCCGCUGCCACCGCAGCUAGUCUCUCCUCCUCUGUUGCCUUGUCUACCAGCUCUUUUCAAGAGUGGCAUAAUCGUCUGGGUCAUUUAUGUGGCUCUCGUCUCUCAUCCUUAGUUCGACGUGGUCUUCUUGGAUCCAUCUCCGGUGGUGUGUCUUUAGACUAUCAGGGCUGCCGGCUUGGUAAACAGGUUCAGUUACCUUAUCCUCAUAGCGACACUGUGUCUCAGCGUCCUUUUGACCUUGUUCACUCCGAUGUUUGGGGUCCAGCUCCCUUUUCCUCGAAGGGAGGCCAUCGCUACUAUAUUAUCUUUAUAGAUGAUUUCUCUCGAUACACGUGGAUCUAUUUUAUGUCUUCUCGUAGUGAGGUAUUAUCUAUCUAUAAGCGUUUUGCUGCCAUGGUUCACACUCAAUUCUCUACGCCUAUUCAUGUGUUCCGUGCUGACUCUGCUGGAGAGUAUAUCUCCAAGAUGUUGCGUGGAUUUCUCGCUGAGCAGGGUACACUUGCUCAGUUCUCUUGUCCUGGUGCUCAUGCUCAGAAUGGUGUGGCUGAGCGCAAGCAUCGUCACCUUCUUGAGACGGCUCGUGCGAUGAUGGUUGCUGCCUCUCUUCCGCUCAUUUCUGGGCUGAGGCCGUCUCCACCUCCACCUAUCUCAUCAAUCUACAACCUUCUGCUGCUCUACAGGGUGGUGUUCCUUUUGAGCGUCUCUUUGAUCGUUCUCCCGAUUAUUCGAUGCUUCGCGUGUUUGGUUGUGUCUGCUAUGUUCUUCUUGCCCCUCGCGAACGCACCAAACUGACCGCUCAGUCUGUUGAGUGUGUCUUCUUAGGCUACAGUGAUGAGCAUAAGGGCUAUCGUUGUUGGGAUCCUAUCGGUCGUCGGAUGCGUAUCUCUCGGGACGUGACUUUUGACGAGUCUCGUCCCUUCUACCCACGCCCAUCUUCCUCGACCUUUUCAGUGGAGGAUAUCUCUUUCCUCACUUUUCCAGAUACACCUCUCACCCCCAUCGAGCCUUUGCCUAUUCGUUCCGCUCCCUCUGCUUCUCCACCUCCUGUCGAUUUGCUACCACCAUCUCCCACGGUUUCCUCUCCUGGCAUGUCACCGGAUUCUGCACCUUCAUCUCCGAUGACUUCUACAUCUUCACCCCUCGAUUCUACCUUGGCGAUCCCCCCUUGCAUUGUUCCAUCUUUUCCUCAGUGUUACACUUGUCGUUCACGUCAUGUGGAUGCCUUUGCGAAUGCCCCUGUGGAUGUGUCGUCAUCCUCAUCUCAGCCUCCCUAUGCCUUGCAUUCUCGCCCUCGUCCGCCUGUUGAUCGCCUUGGAUUUCCCACCGUUGGUGCUGCUGUUCUUGAGCCGACUUCCUAUCAUCAGGUCGUUGUUCAUCCUGAAUGGCAGUUUGCGAUGGCAGAGGAGAUUGCUGCUCUUGAACGCACUGGUACGUGGGAUCUUGUUUCACUUCCUCCCGGAGUCCGUCCCAUCACUUGUUAGUGGGUCUACAAGAUUAAGACUCGCUCCGAUGGUUCUCUUGAGCGUCACAAAGCUCGUCUUGUGGCUCGUGGUUUUCAGCAGGAGCAUGGUCGUGAUUAUGACGAGACUUUUGCUCCUGUGACCCAUAUGACCAUUGUUCGUACACUUCUUGCCGUGGCCUCUGCACGCCACUGGUCUAUAUCUUAGCUUGAUGUUAAGAAUGCCUUUCUUAAUGGUGAGCUGCGUGAGGAGGUGUACAUGCAGCCACCACCUGGGUAUUUUGUUCCUGAUGGCAAUGGUAUGUCGUCUUCGUCGCUCUCUCUGUGGCCUUAAGCAAGCCCCUCGCGCCUGGUUUGAGCGUUUUGCCUCUGUGGUGAUUGCCGCUGGUUUUUCAGCGAGUGCUCAUGAUCCAGCAUUGUUUAUUCACCUUUCUCCUCAUGGUCGGACUCUUCUUCUUCUCUAUGUUGAUGACAUGAUCAUCCUUGGGGAUGACCCCGAGUAUAUUGCCUUUGUAAAGGUCCGUCUUAGUGAGCAAUUUCUUAUGUAUGAUUUGUUAGGAAGUAUUAGUAUUAGUCUAGGAGUCCUUAUUAGUCUAUUAGUAUUAGUCUAGGAGUCCUUAUUAGUCUAUGUUUACUUUCAUUGCACCUCAAGUCUUGUGUAAUAUAUAUAUGCCCCUUGGGCCUUCAAUAAACAUAAGUUGCUUUCCUAACAUGGUAUUAGAGCCUUAGGUUUUUUUUCUCGCACGCGCAACUCGUGCUUUUCCCUCCUUGCCGCCGCGUUCUUCUUCCCGACCGCGUCGUGCUCCUGCUGCAGCCUCGGCGUCUCCAGAUCGAGGAUCUGCUACCGCCCCUGCCCUCCACCCUAGCCGCGCCAUCCUCUCCAGAUCGUGCCAGGAUCGCUGCUCUGCACUCCAGCCGGGCCGCCCUCUCCAGAUCGCCACGUCGUGCAGUCCAGAUCGAGGAUCUGGACGCCUCGCGCUGCCUCCAGCCCAGAUCGGGACGCCCCGCGCUACCUCCAGUCCAGCUCGCGAAUAGUCUUCGCUCUGGAAUAACCACGCUUCACUCCGCGUUGACUCCAGAUCACGUUGUAUCUCCCGCAUCAACUACCUCGCUCUGGAGGCCGCUGUUGCUACUCGAUCUGGUGAUUCCCGCUGGACUGCUCCAUCUGUCCCUACUGGAUCUCGAUCUGGACUGAUCCUCGAAGAAAAAAAAAUGUUUGCUGCAUUCGGCUACGUUGUUGUUCCUCGUUGUCCGGUGAUCUUUGAUGGCACUAACUACACCGAGUUCAUUGGCUUCAUGCGCAUUCACAUGCGUGGCAUCCGUCUAUGGGGUUUUCUUUCUGGCGAGGUCUGUUGUCCGCCAUGUCCGGUUCCUCCCAUGGCUCCUACUCCGCCGACCCAACCGGCUCUUCCUGCGGAUGCUCCUCAGGCCGCAAAGGAUGCGGCUAAGAUUGCUGAUGAGACCGUUGUAAGUGCUUAUGAUGAGAAGGUCUUGGCUUAUGAGGAGGCUCUUCAGGUGUAUCACGGUGCUCUGUCCGCUUACACCCAGUGGCUUGAUGAUGAUGCUCGUGCUGCAGCUGUUCUCACUGCUAGUGUUCUGCCUCAGUUUGCCUCUGAGUUUUUGGGCCUUCCUACUGCCUUUGAGAUGUGGACUCGCCUUCGUUAGCGCUAUGCGCCCUCUGGUGAUGCCUUAUACCUCUCCGUGGUUCGUCAGGAGCAUGCUCUUCAGCAGGGUGACUCUACUGUUGAUGACUUCUAUGCACAAAGUUCUGCUAUCUGGCGCCAGCUCGAUUCUCUCCGCACUGCUGGUUGUCGUACUUGCCCCUGUUGCCAGGCUGUCCAGGCCAACUUGGAGUUUCAUCGCAUCUACGAGUUCCUGUCUUGGCUCCGUAAGGAGUUUGAGCCCCGGCGUGCUCAGUUGUUUGCUCGUGGCCGUAUUUCUCUCAUGGAGGCGCUUUCUGAGAUUCGUGCUGGGGAGACUCGCUUACGUGGUGCUGGUUUGCUGGAGGUUCCCUCGGUGCUCGCUGCUCGGGCUACUUUUACGCCCCCUGCUGCACUGACCCCUUCUCACUCGAGUGCUCCGCCGCUCUUGCCCACUCCUUCUGGAGGCUCAGGUCGCCCCCGUCCACAUUGUAGCUACUUCAACAAUGAUGGUCAUAUUGAGUCCCACUGCUACACGAAGAAGAAACACUUGCGCCAGGCGCAAUCAUCAUCUACAGAGACUUCGUCAUCUACCUCGACAGCUUCAGCCAUCGCUUUGACUGAGCAGGAUAUUCUGAGACUUAAGCGUCUGCUCGCUGCUUCAGGUUCUUCCUCGACGGGUACUGCUGGUUUUGUGACUGAGGCUUCCCGCACUGAGCAACCACCUUUUACACAGUCAGGACCGUCUCCUGCACACUCUGGUUGGAAUUGGCCUUCACCGCCAUGAUAUUAUUUUUUCUCUUCCGCUGCCAUCAUCCCUAAUCUAGUGUGUGUUUUCUAGUUUUCUUUGUUUUCCGCUGCGUCCACCAAAUCCGUUGAUAUUUUUUGUUUUCUCAUGCCAUGCGAGUCCACCAUACCUUAGUCCUUUAGCCUUUCUCCGGUCCUGAUCCUUUCUAUGCAACUUUUGUGGCCUACCUGCCCUUGUUGUUUUCUAUAGGAUUUUCUGGACUUCUUUUUGCAUUGUCGAUCUACGUCCAUCGUGCCUUAUCCGCCGAGCUUCUUUCGACGACGGUUGUCAUGGACUAUGGUUUUCUACGCAAUGCUUUCUUCUCUUGAUGUGACAUCUUCUUUUGACAACCCACCUUCUCUUGAUACUUAUGUUGUAUCUUCAAGUGAUGCGGUGUCUUCCUCUGAUGUGCCAACUCUUCGGUGUCUUCCUCUUGAUGUGCAAUCUUCUUUUGACAACCCAUCUUCUCUUGAUACUUUAUCUUGUAUCUUCAAGUGAUGCGGUGUCACAUCUGAUGUGCCAUCUCUUCGUUCUCUCCUUCGGCGACUCGACAAGUUUUGAAGACUCUUCAUGCUAUGACGACACUCUCAAGACGCGGAUUUGGAUUAUCAUUUUUUUAGUAUUACACUUGUUCAAAUGCAAUGCUAUUGCAUACGCUUUGCAUUUGAGGGGGGGUGUUAGGAAGUAUUAGUAUUAGUCUAGGAGUCCUUAUUAGUCUAUGUUUACUUUCCUUGCACCUCAAGUCUUGUGUAAUAUAUAUAUGCCCCUUGGGCCUUCAAUAAACAUAAGUUGCUUUCCUAACAUGAUCUUGGACCUCUUCGCUACUUUCUUGGGAUUGAAGUCUCUUCUACCUCUGAUGGCUUUUUUAUAUCCUAGGAAAAGUAUAUCCAGGAUCUUCUUGCUCGUGUUGCUCUUACUGACGAGCGCAUUGUUGAGACUCCUAUGGAGCUCAAUGUUCACCUCCGUGCUACUGAUGGUAAUCCCUUGCCUGACCCAACGCGUUAUCAUCAUCUUGUUGGCAGUCUUGUCUAUCUAGUUGUCACUCGUCCGGAUAUCUCUUAUCCGGUUCAUAUUCUGAGUCAGUUCGACUCCGCUCCCACAUUGGUUCACUACAGUCAUCUCCUUCGUGUUCUCCGAUAUCUUCGGGGCACGAUCUCUCACCGUCUAUUCUUUCCUCGCUCAAGUUCUUUACAGCUUCAGGCCUAUUCGGAUGCUACGUGGGCUCAAUGUUCGCCUCGGUGAAAAGUAUAUCCAGGAUCUUCUUGUUCGUGUUGCUCUUACUGACGAGCGCACUGUUGAGACUCCUAUGGAGCUCAAUGUUCACCUCCGUGCUACUGAUGGUAAUCUCUUGCCUGACCCGACGCGUUAUCGUCAUCUUGUUGGCAGUCUUGUCUAUCUAGCUGUCACUCGUCCGGACAUCUCUUAUCCGGUUCAUAUUCUGAGUCAGUUCGUCUCCGCUCCCACAUUAGUUCACUACAGUCAUCUCCUUCGUGUUCUCCGAUAUCUUCGGGGCACGAUCUCUCACCAUCUAUUCUUUCCUCGCUCCAGUUCUUUACAGCUUCAGGCCUAUUCGGAUGCUACAUGGGUUAGUGAUCCUUCAGAUCGCCGUUCACUUUCUGUUUACUGUGUGUUUCUUGAUGGUUCUCUCAUUGCCUGGAAGACGAAGAAACAGAUUGCAGUUUCCCGUUCGAGUGCAGAGGCUGAGUUGCGAGCGAUGGCUCUUUUGACGGCAGAGGUGACUUGCUUACGGUGGUUGCUUCAGGAUUUUGGUGUUUCUGUCACUACACCGACUCUGCUCUUAUCUGACAGUACAGGUGCUCUUAGCAUUGCGCGUGAUCCCGUGAAGCAUGAGCUCACCAAGCAUAUCGGUGUUGAUGCUUUCUAUGUGCGCGCUGGUGUGCAGGAUCAGGUUAUUGCUCUUCAGUAUGUGCCUUCCGAGUUACACUUGGCGGAUUUCCUGACGAAGGCCCAGACUAGAGCACAACAUGGCUUUUAUCUCUCCAAACUCAGUGUUAUUCAUCCACCAUGAGUUUGAGGGGGGGUGUUAGAGUUAUAAUAUAAGUCAUGUACCCCUUUGUAUUUAUCCCGUUGUAUAAGGGGUUUCCGGCAUAUGUUCCACACCUGUACAUGUAUAUAUAUCGUCCUAUGGCCUCAUGGGAAUACAAGUUGCUUAUUCCUAACACCCAAGAGGAUGGACAGUUGCGAGCUUGAGCAGCGGCGACGGGAGGCGCUCGCCGGUAGAGGUGCUAGGGGAGGCGAGGAUAAUUGGGAGCCGGUGGAGGAUGUUCAGGAGGAGAUGUCGGAGCUCAAGAACCCGAGGUAAGCCUGCGGUGCUCACGGGUGGAGGAGAUCAGGCAGUGGCUGCGUGACACCGGAGCUGCGUGAUCGGGCAGCGGCUGCCCAGGAGGAAGGAUCCAUCACUAUGGGACGUUUCAAUCCAAUUAACCCCAAAGGAAGACGAAUUGGAGAGCGGUGGGCCUAUCAGACAUUUUAUUGGAGCUCCGCGUUCUCGUUGGACAUGUGCGCGAGUCAACGCCGGCGAUGGUUGCUUUGAUAUUCCCUGGCAAGAGAGAGAGAGGGAGAGGGCGGCGGAGUGAUGGCGAGUAGUGGGUUCGAGUUAGGGACAGAAACGUAAAAGACCCCAAAAAAAUACUGCAAGUGAUAGACAAAGCCAGAAAUACUAGAAGGAUGUUCGCACCUGCAUUAGCUCUUCACAUCUCUUCAAAGGCAUAGUGGAUCCAUGCCGCAGAAGGGCCAUUGCAGCAGUCCUCAGCAGCAAAGGUGACACACCCUUUUCAUUCAAUUUAUCUUCAGAUACUGAUGCAUCGGUUAUUAAACUUCUAUCACCCGAGUUCACUAUUUUUUGUACAAAAAGGGGUAUUCCCAAUUCUUCUGCCAGUCGCCUCUUGUAUUUCUCAGCAGCUGAAUGAGCAAUUUCAUGGCAAUCCACACACAGAAGUACAAUAUCAUGUGAACGAUGGCUCUUCAGAUGCUCCGGAAAGUGCAUCCUGUAGCAAGAUGGUAUUAUUCUAUAUCUGAUAUAGUGGCUUUUUUCUCCACAUCCAACACAAAUAUUUUUUUUGCUCUGAAUAUAAAAUUCAUUAUCUUCAUCCUCGGGACGACCCUUAGGUUCAAACAGAAGCAUUAUUCCUGGAGGAUUAUCUUCUACUAACUUUGCCAAAUCCCGUUGAAUAUACCUGGGAAAUAAAAUCAAUCAGUUUGACAAAAUAACUACUCCCUCUGUCCCAAAAUUCUUGUCUUAACUUUGUCUAGAAAUGAAUGUAUCUAAAUACUAAAACUUGACUAGAUACAUUAAUAUCUAAACAAAUCUAAGACAAGAAUUUUGGGACAGAGGGAGUAUGAUAUUAGUGUCACAUACUUUUAUAACAACUUAUGUAGCAUUUAAGAGACAAACCAUUCCAACUUUUUGCGGUCACAGUAGCAAAGUAGUCUUCCAUCACUAGCGUAGAUCCUGCAAUUGUGAUAAACUGGGGACUUACAUGAAAACUUUUUAAUGAAUGAUUCCCGGGAAGCCUUUUUGUUAGGUGGUGCUGUCAACAACUUUUCUCCACUUGAUGCAAAAGCAAAUAUAUUUGCUUGCUUCAAAGUUAGCUGUGAUACAAGGUUAUAAUUGUAAACUGAUAGUCGACAUAAUCCACUUGGUUCUUUAUACUUCCCAAGCAAAGUUGUAAAUAAGUUAUCCAUGCUGACAGUGGUAUCCUCAAUCAGAUAGCAGAGUUCUUCAAUGUGAGCGACAACUACAGGGGAUGGUGACGACAAAGGAUGUAUAGUUGAAGCACUUGGCUCUGUUUCUGCUAUGACAGCACACAUCUCCGUUCUAUCUUUUGGAACUCUUACAGCAAUGGCAGCUAUAGCCUGGUCUGACAGGAUAUACCGCAAGCUUUCAUCAUGCAUGCGAGCCUGGAAUGAGAUCCCAAGACAUUUGAAGAAAUUAGAAAGGAGAAAAGACUAGAAGGCCCAGAACCACAAUAAUGCAGAUAUGCAAUUUUUUAACAUAAUAUACCUUCAAUAGGAGAAAAGGAACUCAAGAAAAUACGAGCGGCUGUGCAGAAAUAUGUUAAUUAUGUUAAGCUUCAUGCACUAGCCAACGCAACCAAAAGUCCAAACUGAUGAAAAGGGCUAGGCAAUCCACAUAUAGUGUAACACCCCCUCUCACUUAUGACAGGGAAGACAAGUCAACACGUGCAACCGGAAGAGAGUGACGGCGCGCGAAGCUCACGUAUGACUCAAGAGGCCUAGCCAGGACUUGAACUCAAGACCUUAGCUCUGAUACCAUGUUAAGCUUCAUGCACUAGCCAACGCAACCAAAAGUCCAAACUGAUGGAAAGGGCUAGGCAAUCCACAUAUAGUGUAACAAAUUAUAAUCUAUGCAUGAGUAAUCUGAUCCAGCUAAUGUCAUGUAGACCAUGCCUAUUCACGCCGCUACAAGGUCCCAUCGGGUUUGUUGGCUUAGCCUCCAACGCAGGUGUGGUUAUAUUCUACCAAAAUUUAUUUAUUUGAUUUGGUUUGUUCUAAGUUGGUCACUUUCUAUACCCUUAAAAUGUUUCCAAACUUCUCAUAUAUCUAAUCCCUCUAUGAAAAGAACAAAGAAAUGUUCAAGAGACCAAUCUACACAAGAAGGAAGAUCAGGCUCGCUCCAAACACUGAGCUGCUUAUGUUGCCAAGUAUAAGCUGUUGCCAAGUAUAAGCUGCUACCAAGACACCACCGAGCCGAAGGCAGUGUUAGAGCAUUUCUAGUAGAACCCUCAAACCCUCGAAGCAGUUUUAAGGGUUGAGAAGUGCCAGUUUAUGGCACUUUUAAGGGUUGAAAAACAGGGGCAAAGACUAGAACCCUCAAACCCAACCCUUAAACUGUUUUAAGGGUUGGAUUUGAGGGUUCUAGUCUUUGCCUCAACCCCAACCUUUAAAACUAUCAUUUUAUAUAUCACACAUUUCAUCAUAUGACAUAUCACAAAUUCCAUCACAUUUGACAUAAAACAAUAAUCAUUCUAGUUAUUAUNNNNNNNNNNNNNNNNNNNNNNNNNNNNNNNNNNNNNNNNNNNNNNNNGACUGGCGGCGGGGCGGCGGACUGGCGGCGGCGGCGGCGGAUUCGGGGGAAGAGACGAGCGCGGGGAAGCAACUUCCUCCCGCGCGAAGGUGGAAAUGGAGUGCGGGUUGGGGGGAGUUUUUCCUCCCAACCCUCACUUCUACAGGCUGGGAAGGUGUUUGAGGGUUGGACCUCUAAAAUUUUUUACGGGUUUAAGGGUUCUAGUCUACGCCGUUUUUUCGACGAAAACUGUAAAAAAAACGGUUAUUUUUAAGGGUUUGAGAGUUUGAGGGCUCUACUAGACUUGCUCUUACUACCUUGUCCCUUAACCUACCACAGCUACACUGCUACAACCUAGACUUGCAACUAACAAGGUUCAACAAAUGAAAGAGCAUAGUCCAACAGAAAUGCAAAAAACAAUCAGAAUGGGAAAUAAAAUUAUGUUGGCUGACCAUUAAGUCCCUCCACGCGCAAAUUUUCCGAACAAGAUCCUACAUAAGAUUAAAUUGUUUAGAACUUAAAAAAUCACUGGUGAGCUGGCUGACCAGAUGCAUAAAAAAAGGAAAACAAGCACCUUCACUUCACUAGAUUUCUUGGAGUCAAGUCCAUGAGUUUGUACAUUUCUUGAGAGAAUAGAUGCUGCAGAGGAAGCUCCUGGACGACAUUCAAUUUCCUUUGUAUAUAGUUGCAUGCACACCAUGUUUGAACGACGGCAAGCCUCCAAGAAAAAAUUGAUUUUACCAUCGGGAGAAUCUGAAGCAUAAUUGAUAUUACAACCGGUCAAAAACAAAAAUUACGUAGCGGGGGGGGGGGGGGGGGGGGGGGGGGGGGGGGGGGGGGGGGGGGGGGGGGGGGGGGGGGGGGGGGGGGGGGGGGGGGGGGGGGGGGGGGGGGGGGGGGGGGGGGGGGGGGGGGGGGGGGGGGGGGGGGGGGGGGGGGGGGGGGGGGGGGGGGGGGGGGGGGGGGGGGGGGGGGGGGGGGGGGGGGGGGGGGGGGGGGGGGGGGGGGGGGGGGGGGGGGGGGGGGGGGGGGGGGGGGGGGGGGGGGGGGGGGGGGGGGGGGGGGGGGGGGGGGGGGGGGGGGGGGGGGGGGGGGGGGGGGGGGGGGGGGGGGGGGGGGGGGGGGGGGGGGGGGGGGGGGGGGGGGGGGGGGGGGGGGGGGGGGGGGGGGGGGGGGGGGGGGGGGGGGGGGGGGGGGGGGGGGGGGGGGGGGGGGGGGGGGGGGGGGGGGGGGGGGGGGGGGUAUUAAUAUACUAUUGUCUGACUUGAUUUUAAAAUGCCAGCAAGAUGUGGAGUGGAGUAAAAACGUAAAACAUUAUUUUGGCAGUUGAGCAAUAGAGUAUCGUCAGUUCAUUAUAAAAUCUUCUUUUAUCGGUCCCGUAAUGUUAGUUUCAUUGCUUAACAAUAGAAUGGAAAUGAACUCUCAUUUUCUUGGCCCCCUUGAUGUAGUUCCAUUUCUUAAUCAUAGAUAAGGAUUGCAUACAAAGAAUACAUAGUUAAGAUCACUGAAUCUCCUUUUCUUGGCCCCCUUAACGUUGCUUUUGUUUCUUAACUAUAGAUCAAGAAUGCAUACACAUAUUUAAGACUGUUUAUUUUGCUUAAGCUUCUGUUGAGGUCAUCAAAGAUACUUGUCAAAAGAAUAAAAAUAUAAGCCUCCAGUUUUUGCACAUCAACAUAAAGUUGUAGUACCUAUUAACAUCUGCGGUAAGUUGUAAGUGCUCUCAGACAAAAAAAAAUAAGGAUACACAUUCAACAAGAUAAUGAAAAAUUCAAAAAUGUACAUAUUCGAAUAAUAUAUGCAAAUAUAAUUGUUGUGGACAAAAUAUGUCCAUUUGCAUUCUGUGCCCAAAAUAAUAUCAGUUUCCCUGUUCUAGUUGUACAGCACUGACAAGAAAAUUCAUUUAACAUGUACAUCUCCGAACUCUUUUCAAAAUAUGUAAGUGAUACGUUCGGAAAUUUCAAUCCACAUGCUUCCGGUUAAAAUCGCACUGACAAGAAAAUUCAUUUAACAUGUACAUCUCCGAACUCUUUUCAAAAUAUGUAAGUGAUACGUUCGGAAAUUUCAAUCCACAUGCUUCCGGUUAAAAUCCACAAUUCUUAAUGGGGCGAGCUAGGUGUCAGCCGGCUGACUCGCACCCCAAAUCAGCCGUCCCAACUACUACUACGAUUCGGCACUGUCGCCCAUCCGAUUCGUGACACGUAGCAUCACCAUCCACACCGACGCUAAGCAACAUCUUGUUGAAAUCGGGAGAGAGAGGUACCUUCAGACAGCCAAGCUCUCUUGUCUGGUUUCUCGCUUGACUGUUGUGUGUGUGUGGCGACUCUCGGACUCAGAACAAGGACGAGCUCCUCUCCCUUAGGUUAGAUAGUCACUAUGGGCCUGAGCCACUUGGGCCAGUAAUACAUGGGCCAUGAGCCCCUCAUCCAACACUCCCUCUCAAGAGGGGUGACAGAUAUCUAUCAUUCCCAUCUUGUCACAUGCUAGAUUGCAUUCUUUAGUUCCCAAUCCUUUAGUCAAACAAUCUGCAAUAUGUUGUCCAGAACCCACAUGCUCAAUCUUGAUGAUCCCAGCAUCAAGCUUUUCUUUGAUGAAGAAUCUGUCUAUUUCCACGUGCUUGGUUCUAUCAUGUUGCACUGGAUUGUGUGCUAUGUUGAUUGCUGAUUUGUCAUCACACCACACAUUCAUACAACUAGUCUUCAAUAUUUUCAAUUCUUCUAAUAAAUUUGGCAGUCACUCCGUAGCGGCGCCGCAUAUAAGUCUUACCGUGCGGCGGCCAACUAAUCUCCUUACUAAUGCAUUUUAAGUGUGGCACCUCCCGCCAAUCACUCUCUGGCCCUAAAAAACUGCCCGAUGGACCACAUGGAUGAGCUAUCCGGCGACUAAAAAACAUACAACACCACACGCAAGAUUCCCUUUCAUGUUUGAAAUUCAAAAAGUUUUAUCUACAAAACCGUUAAUUCAAUCGAUGAUCCGCUUUCACCACACAUUCAUACAACUAGUCUUCAAUAUUUUCAAUUCUUCUAAUAAAUUUGGCAGUCACUCCGUAGCGGCGCCGCAUAUAAGUCUUACCGUGCGGCGGCCAACUAAUCUCCUUACUAAUGCAUUUUAAGUGUGGCACCUCCUGCCAAUCACUCUCUAGCCCUAAAAAACUGAUGAGCUUGUUAGGAAAGCAACUUAUCUGUAUUGAAGGCCCAAGGGGCAUAUAUAUAUUACACAUGACUUGAGGUGCAAGGAAAGUAAACAUAGACUAAUAAGGACUCCUAGACUAAUACUAACAGACUAAUAAGGACUCCUAGACUAAUACUAAUACUUCCUAACAGAGCUAUCCGGUGACUAAAAAACAUACAACACCACACGCAAGAUUCCCUUUCAUGUUUGAAAUUCAAAAAGUUUUAUGUACAAAACCGUUAAUUCAAUCGAUGAUCCGCUUUCACCAUUGACUUUCUCGCGACGAGUUCUUCGAAACUAGAUCCCAUGUUGAUAUGUUCCGUCAACUAUUUUUUUCCGUUCAUACUUGCCACAUUUUUGGACCCACUUGUCAUAUUAUUAACCACUUACUUGCCUAAGAAAAAUAACUUGAUUGUCACUUUUUAAUGUUGUUUCGUACAAAAAAGCCUUGUAGCAGAUUUCAUUAUACAUGAUAUAAAAGCAUGUCAUAGGUUGUGUUUGCCAAGUUAAAAUAUAUCAACUUGUCAUAUUUACAUAUAACUUUGCUAGAAAACUAUUUUGUGUGCUUGUUAGUUUAACUAUGCCGAGUUGUCAUAUUUACAAAGGAUGACCAAAUAUUCUUGUGGUCACCGGUUUUAAAAUGUUGAGUUGUCAUAUUUUUGCGCGUAAUCGCCUAAAGAAAGUUGUUUGUGCUUGCCAGUUUGAUUAUGUCAAGAUGUCAUAUUAUACGCAAUUUCUAAAAAUAUGGCGAUUAAGUUAUUUUUUGUCAAACAAGUACUUACUAAUAUGACAACUAAGUACAACAAAUGUGGUAAGUACGAGCAAAAAAAAAGUUAUCGAAACAUGUCGACAUGGGAUCUAGUUUUGAAGAUUUCGUCGAAACAAAGUCAACGGCGAAAACGGACCAUCGAUCGAAUUAACGGUUUAAGAGAUAAAACUUUUAAAAUCCGGUCAUUUAAAGCGAAUCCGAUGACAUCAUUGCAUGAAUGCAUGCAUGCAUGAAGAAGAGAGCACACACAAAUCGAUCCGCAAGCCGCCGCACGGUAGUGACAAAAUGCGGUGCAGUUAGUUAGAUUUUCCCAAUAAAUUUCUGGUCCACAACUUCUCACUCAGCCCCUUAGACAUGGCUCUGUAUUCAGCCUCUGCAGUUGAUUUGGAAACAACAGGUUGUUUCUUGCUUCUCCAAGAUACUAGAUUUCCUCCUACAAAGACACAAUAGCCUGAAGUUGAUCUCGUGUCAUCCAUGAAGCUAGCUCAAUCAGCAUCACAAUAACCAUCUACAACAAGGUGUCCAUAACUCUUGAACAACAGUCCUUUCCCAGGAGUACCUUUCAAACAUCUCAAGAUUCUAUGUACUCGAGAUGUCCACUUCUAGGCUCAUGCAUGUAUCUGCUCACAACACUUACUGCAGAUGCAAUGUCUGGUCGUGUAUGACACAGGUACAACAACCUCCCAACUAAUCUUUGAUAUCUCUCCUUAUUCACUGGCUCUCCUGACUGAGCUGUCACUUUGUGGUUUUCAUCAAUUGGAGUUGAUGCAGCCCGACAUCCUACCCAUCCCUACAUCGCUUAGGAGAUCUAAAGUAUACUUCCUCUGAGAUAGCGCGAUCUCCUUGGCAGACCUGGCCACUUCUAUGCUGUAGGAUCGAAAGUAUGUCUAGAGGGGGGAGGGGGGUGAAUAGACUGUGAUGUCCCGUCAGCAGUACAUAUCGUGUUACUUUCAGAGGCCUGUAACAAUGCAUCGUUUCUUAGUACGUUCUGGGACUUAGGCCUGUGCCAAUGCAUCGUUUCUUAGUACGUUAUCAUAGGAGCAUUAAUAAAUUAAGAGACUACUAACCCAAUGCAUUGUUUCUUAGAGGUUGUCUCUAAAUCUAAUGAUUUGGUGCUCAUGCAUAGAUGUGAUUGGGCUGUUAACCAUUUUUACCUAUGGUGGCGUGCAAAUGUUGUAUCUUAGCUAAGAUAGAACCCUACUCUCUCUCAUCAUUAACUAGUGUGACACAUCAGCAAAACGCCUAUGAACCGGCGCUAAGAAACCUCCAUUGGCACAGGCCCUAGAACAAGGACGAGCUCCUCUCCUUUAGGUUAGAUAGUCACUAUGGGCCUGGGCCACUUGGGCCAGCAAUACAUGGGCCAUGAGCCCCUCAUCCAACACAUCUCAACACCACGCAUGCUGCGACCAACGUCAUAGUUUCCCCCCUCGGCCAUGCAUGGGACACACAGGUUGGUACUGGCGCGCCGCUCCGGCGAGAAGCAGCCGCAUGCCGGCCUAGCAGCAGCGCUCGGGCACCACAGCACCCUCGCAGCAGACAGUGUGCACCGCUCGUAGCAUCGCCAGUCGGCUCGCCGCGGCCACCAGCCGGUUCGCAGCACGCGUCUACCGCCUUGCGGCGUCGGCAACAGCCCCCUUCAAGCAGCUCUCGGCCUGGCCUGCAGCAUAUGCCAUCGCCGUCCUUAGAGCAUCGGCGGGNCAGCGCUCGGGCACCACAGCACCCUCGCAGCAGACAGUGUGCACCGCUCGUAGCAUCGCCAGUCGGCUCGCCGCGGCCACCAGCCGGUUCGCAGCACGCGUCUACCGCCUUGCGGCGUCGGCAACAGCCCCCUUCAAGCAGCUCUCGGCCUGGCCUGCAGCAUAUGCCAUCGCCGUCCUUAGAGCAUCGGCGGGCUCGCGGCGACGCCGCCUCGCUAACUUGCAGCAUCGAGCGGGCUUGCAGUGGUUCUGCCUCACUGGCUUGCAGCAUCGGCAGGCUCACAGCUGUGCCGGCUCGCUAGCUUGCAGCAUCCUCCACCACCGCUCGGAUCAUCAUGAGCGGCUCGCACCAGCCUAUGGCCCCUACCUCCCCAUCCUGCAGCCGUCCAACGCUUUCCUUGCAGCAACAGCGGAAGCCUUUGCAGCGCCCGGCGGCAUCCCUGCAGCAGUGGACGGCUCGGCUUGUGCAAUGCAUCUCUGCUGCAGUCGGCGGCGGCCGGCUUGCUGCGCACAUAGGGGGAGGAAGCAGCGCUCGCAUCUGUUGUCUAGAGGUUGGGGAAGAAGCCAAGAAGCUUCAGGGGGAAUAAAGACAAGGAGAAAUCGAAAAAGAAAAAAAGUUGGGAGACCGUGCAUGUGGGGACCACGUGCACAUGUGACAUGGCAAGUGAACGACCCAGCUGAUUUCUGCGUAAAAUCAGUCAGGCCUAUUAGACUGUUUCCCAUUCUUAAUAUAUGAAUAAAAAAAUUGUUUGUAGGUUAAGAGCAUACCAUUUCCAAAAUCUUUUGUAGGUAGAAAGCAAAAUAGAUAGUUCUCCUGCAACAGCUGGCAGUUGGAGACUUAGAGCACAAAAUGAAAAUUACACAUGUUUCCCGAGAAUGAAGGAUUCAAAUUCCACAGCUACAUCAAGUAAGCUCCAUUUGCAGGCAAUAGGAAAAGGCUGAAGGGUGAACAAUCCAAAAAAUACUGAUGGAAAUCAGCUCUAUUUACUGCUAUAAUUCAUGGAUACAAAAUCAGCUGUAUUGAGCAUUCAUUGUUGACUUUGACUGUGCUAAACAGAAAAUAAUUACAAUGUAUGUUAAUGACUUAUAAUGUACUAAAUGGCAGUAAAGACUGUUGAAAUGGAAAUAAGAGCACGGCACUUAGAAGUUAGAACAUAGUAACAUACCACAGGAUUUUGCAUGGAGCUCUGAUGCCAAACAAUUUGAAAUGUUCAACAGAUAGUGAGCAUCACAACGGGCAUACUGAAUCAUUUCCACUGUCAGCGGGCGUAAUCUCCAAUCUUCACGCUGAAAUCUCAAAAUAAGGUAGAAUGAAAAGAAAUAGCGGUAAUUAUGGAAGCAAUUUCGAAAUUUGAAACUGAUAUAUCCUGUGCCUAGCAAACUGAAAUUAUUAUUUUUUCAAGAAAACGCAAGGAGCGUUUGCGUUUCAUUUCAUUGAAAAGGUGGGAGAUUACAGGCCUCCUAAGAGGUGGUGGUUACAAGGCCAAUUCCUCAUCAAUGGACAUCCCAGGAGGCGGGCAGCACAACCCUCAGCCCCUGUGCCCCAGCUUGUGUCCAACAUUUGGCUUCUGCUUUGAUCCUAUCAACUAAUGAAUCUAUCGAGGGUCUCGCAUUGUCGAAGACACAUUCGUUCCUCUGUUUCUAAAUCAUCCAAGAUUUGAUGAUAACCCCCCCAGGUCACUUAAACCCCACAUGUCAGUGACACAUCAAAGGGGCCUGUGAGCAAGGAUCGGUCAACAAAGGGGGUUAUUGUCAAUUAUCUGCAUCUAAAGGAUGUGACAUCCAUUUCAAGGCCAGGUUGUGAAGGGUGUCAAGGCCAAUGAUCAGGAAAUCAUGUCAGAGCUGACUAGGUAUCAUGAAUAAUUACACAAGAAGACAGUUAAUAGAACAUUACUGGGGGAAAACCUACUGCUGUACUGGGUUCUAGUAUCAUGAAUAAUAACAUAUCAAGCAGGAUUCAAUACAAUUAAUGUUUUCUAGGGCUUAUGAACUUAACUGAAGUGAAACAUAUACCUUCCUGUUGGGCACUUCUAAUAAACCGAAGUAAUAAAAAGGGUGGCCCGGUGCACAUAGCUCCCGCUUGCGCAGGGUCCGGGCAAGAGGCUGUUUCCAGGACUCUAACCCAUGACCUCAUGGUCAUAAGGUAACAGCUUUACCGCUGUGCCAAGGCUCCCUUUCCCCGGUAAAUAAACCAAAGUAAUAGUUUAAAAGAAUUGGUAAAUAUCUUUUUGAAAACCUCAGUUGCAACUUCUAUAAACGUUGUCUUCUACAUCAUUUGGAAACCUUACAAGGAAAUACCAAGGUUUGUGGUUUGGCUCAAUAUGUAUAUAGCGCCAUCAAUAGUUCAUUUACUUUCUCACAUACCGAAAAGUAUUCAUGUAUAAGUUGAGAAGACACAUGAGAUUUAACCAGCUACUAACUGUCACUGAACACUUGACUGGCUUUAUCAAGCUCGCUGUUUAAACCAAACUUACAAAAUACUUGCCUGCAAUGUCUUGUCGGUAGUCACUCCACAAUAUAAUUCUAGCAAAUACGCUAAGGAUUUCUGUGGCUUUGAUAGGACCUCACAUGCCUGAAAAUGUAUUGAUUUCAAUAAGCAAUUGAGCAAAGCUCAUAAGCGUAGCAUAAUAACAAAAAAGUGAGAGCACAAAGGCAUAUAGGACAGCCUUAUGAACAGCAGGGGCAAAGGUACCAAGCAACAAAGAUGCUCAAGAACCAAAAUAUUUAUGGACACGGACUAAUUCAAAGGAAACUGGUAUUGUAAACUAAUUCUGAUUCUGAGCUGCAAUAGCACUCUAGCACAAAUAUAAAGCUUUUUGUAUUCCAGUUGAUCAGUUCAUAUAAAUUCGAUUUCCUGAUGCUUCGAGAACUGUAUGAAUUUUGUGGUUGAAACUGGAAACUUAAACCAACACAACUGAAAAAGAAGCAAUUGACUCUAGCAAUACUCAUACAAAAAAUAUCUGAAACUAACAGAGAAGUACCAAACACAAUAUAAGAUGAUGAUACUCGGUGGCACAUCUUUUUUCCCACAAAGACAUUGAAACCUUCUAUUCAAAAUUAAGAGAAAGGGAACAAGAGCAGGCGACACGAAAUGGGUACCCAAGAAGUUCAUUUUUCUUCGAGAAAACGCAAGAGAUUUUGCGUUUCAUUGCACUGAAAGGAGAGAGAGUUUUACAAUCCUCCUAGGAGGCAAUUACAGGUUUCGAAACAGGAAAAUCAGUGAACAUCCCAUGUUUGGAGGGUGAUGGCUCUAAGCCCUAAAGCACCAGCGCUUGCCCAGAGAGCGGCCUCGUUUUAAUCUUCGUAAGCAGGGUAUCCAUCGAUGGUUGUCCUCCACUGAAAACGCAAUCUUUGCGCUGUUUCCAUGGGACGAGGAGGGUCAUGAUGCCCAGGCCUUUGUGCAUGGGCGCUGGGGAAAAUUGCCGUGCUGAUUGCCACCGGUCAAGUAGAGAGGGCUCGCUGGCCGGUGCAGCGCAUGGGUUCCACAGCCAGCACAGCGCUUCAUGCCAGAUCUGUCUGGCGAAGGGGCAUGCAAGGAUGAGGUGGUGCAUGGUCUCAAGUGCCUGGUCGCAGAGGGGGCAUCGCGCAGGGUGUUGCAGUCCUCGACGGGCAAGCCAGUGUGCGGUCCAGCAUCGGUCGAGGUGGGCAAGCCAGUGGAAGAAGCGGACGCGCGGAGGCCCCCAGUUUUUCCAAGUGAGCUUCCAAGCGGGGCAAGUUGUGGAUCCGGCGAAGGUGGCGGCAUAUGCAGAUUUGGCGGAGUAGACGCCGUUUGCGCUCCAUUUCCAUGUGAGGCAAUCCAGCUCAGCAGAGAGGGUUGUGCCGUCGAUCAUGUGCCAAAGCCGGAGGUAUUGCCCGAUUUCGUGGAUGCCCACCGUGCCCUUGUCUUGCGCCCAGCGGUUGGCCACAAGCCCCUCCGCAACCGUCCUGAUCUUGCGCCGGCGUUUGGGGAUGCACGCGUAUAGUAGCGGGGCGAUCUCAGGAUGGAGCAUCCGUCAAUCCAUCGGUCCUCCCAUAAAAGGGCCUCCCUGUCGUUCCCCAGCUGCAUAGUAGUGGAGGCAAAGAAGAAUGCACGCUCCUCGUCGGAGAACUGCAGGUCUAGGCCCGCCCAUGCUCAAGUGGUGUCUGUGCGGCUGAACCAAAGCCACCGAGUGCGCAGCGCGAGGCCGGCGCGUGCAAGGUCGUGGAUGCCAAGACCGCCAAGAGAGAUUGGUCGGGCAACACGUUGCCAGUUGACGUGGCAGUGCCCGCCAUUUGUCUUUGCAAGCCCCGCCCAAAGGAAGACGCGUUGGAUCUUCUCGAGCGCCUUGAGGGUCUUCUUGGGGGUGCUAGUGCUAGCAGCUGGUGUAUCGGAAUUGCACUGAGGAUGGCCUUCACGAACGUGAGGCGGCCGGCCCUGUUCAUGAGAUGCACCUUCCAGCAUCGGAGCAUGUGGGCGGUCUUGUCAACCACGGGCUGCAGCUGGGCAGCGGACGGCCGUCGUAGUGUAAGGGGGAUACCCAAGCAGGUAAUGGGUAGCUCGACGAUGGGGCAGCCCAGCAGUUCCACAACAUGCACGACCACAUCCGCCUCGUUAUGAAUCAGAGUGGCCAUCCUCUUUGCGAAGUUGACCCGAAGGCCGGAGGCGCGCCCAAACAGCUGCAAGAUGCUCUUGAUGGCGGAGAUGUCACUCAAAGCGGGUGACAAAAGAGGAUCAUGUCGUCCGGGUAAAGGGAGACCGAUGGCAUCUGUCGUCGCAGGUGAAGUUGUGCUUAUUGCUAGUGUUCUGCCUCAGUUUGCCUCUGAGUUUUUGGGCCUUCCUACUGCCUUUGAGAUGUGGACUUGCCUUCGUCAGCGCUAUGCGCCCUCUGGUGAUGCCUUAUACCUCUCCGUGGUUCGUCAGGAGCAUGCUCUUCAGCAGGGUGACUCUACUGUUGAUGACUUCUAUGCACAGAGUUCUGCUAUCUGGCGCCAGCUCGAUUCUCUCCGCACUGCUGGUUGUCGUACUUGCCCCUGUUGCCAGGCUGUCCAGGCCAACUUGGAGUUUCAUCGCAUCUACGAGUUCCUGUCUCGGCUUCGUAAGGAGUUUGAGCCCCGACGUGCUCAGUUGUUUGCUCGUGGCCGUAUUUCUCUCAUGGAGGCGCUUUCUGAGAUUCGUGCUGAGGAGACUCGCUUACAAGGUGCUGGUUUGCUGGAGGUUCCCUCGGUGCUCGCUGCUCGGACUACUUCUACGCCACCUGCUGCACCGACCCCUUCUCACUCGAGUGCUCCGCCGCUCUUGCCCACUCCUUCUGAAGGCUCAGGUCGCCCCCGUCCACAUUGUGGCUACUGCAACAAUGAUGGUCAUAUUGAGUCCCACUGCUACACGAAGAAGAAACACUUGCGCCAGGCGCAAUCAUCAUNGACUCUACUGUUGAUGACUUCUAUGCACAGAGUUCUGCUAUCUGGCGCCAGCUCGAUUCUCUCCGCACUGCUGGUUGUCGUACUUGCCCCUGUUGCCAGGCUGUCCAGGCCAACUUGGAGUUUCAUCGCAUCUACGAGUUCCUGUCUCGGCUUCGUAAGGAGUUUGAGCCCCGACGUGCUCAGUUGUUUGCUCGUGGCCGUAUUUCUCUCAUGGAGGCGCUUUCUGAGAUUCGUGCUGAGGAGACUCGCUUACAAGGUGCUGGUUUGCUGGAGGUUCCCUCGGUGCUCGCUGCUCGGACUACUUCUACGCCACCUGCUGCACCGACCCCUUCUCACUCGAGUGCUCCGCCGCUCUUGCCCACUCCUUCUGAAGGCUCAGGUCGCCCCCGUCCACAUUGUGGCUACUGCAACAAUGAUGGUCAUAUUGAGUCCCACUGCUACACGAAGAAGAAACACUUGCGCCAGGCGCAAUCAUCAUCUAUAGAGACUUCGUCAUCUACCUCGACAGCUUCAGCCAUCGCUUUGACUGAGCAGGAUAUUCUGAGACUUAAGCAUCUGCUCGCUGCUUCAAGUUCUUCCGCGACGGGUACUGCUGGUAUUGUGACUCAGGCUUCCCGCACUGAGCAACCACCUUCUACAAAGUCAGGACUGUCUCACGCAUACUCUGGUUGGAAUUGGCCUUCGCCGCCAUGAUAUUAUUUUUUCUCUUCCGCUGCCAUCAUCCCUAAUCUAGUGUGUGUUUUCUAGUUUUCUUUGUUUUCCGCUGCGUCCACCAAAUCCGUUGAUAUUUUGUGUUUUCUCAUGCCAUGCGAGCCCACCAUAUCUUAGUCCGUCGACUUUUCUCUGGUCCUGAUCCUUUCUAUGCAACUUUUGUGGCCUACUUGCCCCUGUUGUUUUCUAUAGGAUUGUCUGGACUUCUUUUUGCAUUGUCGAUCUACGUCCAUCAUGCCUUAUCCGCCGAGUUUCUUUUGCCGACGGUUGUCGAGUACUAUGAUUUUCUGCAUAAUGUUUUAUUCUCUUGAUGUGCCAUCUUCUUUUGACAACCCAUCUUCUCUUGAUACUUAUCUUGUAUCUUCAAGUGAUGCGGUGUCUACCUCUAAUGUGCCAUCUGCUCGUUCACUCCUUCGGCGACUCGACAAGUUCUGAAAGACUCUUCAUGCUACGACGACACUCGGCGAUUUUAUUUUUUUUAGUAUUACACCUCUUCAAAUGCAAUGCUAUUGCAUACGCUUUGCAUUUGAGGGGGGGUGUUAGGAAGUAUUAGUAUUAGUCUAGGAGUCCUUAUUAGUCUAUUAGUAUUAGUCUAGGAGUCCUUAUUAGUCUAUGUUUACUUUCCUUGCACCUCAAGUCAUAUGUAAUAUAUAUAUGCCCCUUGGGCCUUCAAUAUAGACAAGUUGCUUUCCUAACAAGUAUUAGUCUAGGAGUCCUUAUUAGUCUGUGUUUACUUUCCUUGCAUCUCAAGUCAUGUGUAAUAUAUAUAUGCCCCUUGGGCCUUCAAUACAGAUAAGUUGCUUUCCUAACAACUGAAAUGUGCUGUCCUGAACAUAAGAUUGUUCAACUGCAUAGAUCCACUGGGGUGUAACCACAGAAAUAGCCAUGAGUGAAUUUCUCCUAGAAAGAGCAUCAGCAACAAUAUUCUCCUUCCCCUUCUUGUACUGGAGAGUAAAGUUGAAUUCUAGCACUUUGAGCAUGAGUUUGUGCUGGAUACUUGUGGUUAUCUUUUGGUCAGUCAUGAAUUGCAAACUCUGGUGAUCAGUCUUGAUGAUGAGGUCAUUCCCAAGGAAAUAGUGCAUCCACCUUUUGAGAGCAGCAAUGAUUGCUAGUGCUUCUUUUUCAUAUGUUGAAAGUGCAGCAUUUUUUGGACAGAGUGGAGCUAUAGUAAGCCAGGGGCCUACCCUUGGAAAGCUUGACAAAGAGCUGAUGUUCUUUCAGGAGCUGGAGAACAAUUUGUAUGUGCUCCAAAUGUUCAGAGAGGGAUUUGCUGAAGAUGAGGAUGUCAUCAAAGAAAACCAACACAAACUUUCUUAUGUAUGGACCAAAAAUGUUGUUCAUUAGGGCUUGGAAAGUCCCAGGUGCAUUAGCCAGACCAAAGGGCAUAACCAGAAACUCAUAAUGACCAAAAUAUGUUCUGAAAGCAGUUUUAGGUAUGUCUUGCUCAUUCAUUCUCACCUGAUGAUAGCCAGAUCUCAGGUCCAAUUUAGUGAAAUAAGUAGCACCCUGUAAUUCAUCCAACAAAUCCUCAAUUACAGGUAUUGGGAAUUUAUUCUUGACAGUAGCAGCAUUCAGUUUUCUGUAGUCAAUGCACAUUCUCCAAGUGCCAUCCUUUUUCAUGACCAGAAUUGCAGGGGAGGAAUAUGGGCUUUCACUAGCCCUUAUAAUUUUGUCUUUGAGCAUGGAGUCAAUCUGCCUCUCUAGCUCAUUCCUCUGCAUAUGUGGUACUCUAUAAGGUCUAGAGUUUGGUGGUAUUGCUUGCUCUUUUAAAGGGAUCUUAUGGUCAUGAUUUCUCUUGGGUGGCAACCCUUUUGGUUCUUGAAAAACUUCAGGGAAUUGUUGCAGUACUUCCUGAACAGGUUGUGGUACUUCUUGUUGAACUGGUGCUUUCAAUGAAGUGUCUCUUAUGAGAUGCAGAACAUAGCCAGGUGCACCCAAGGCUAAGAGUUUGUCCACUUCAGCUGCUUCUAUGGGAGUUGCAUCAGCCAGGGUAUCACAGGCUCUAAUGGUCACUGGUGUGUGUUUAUCCAUCAUGGCAGAAAUUUGUCUUGGGUUGUAAUGAAAAGCCACAGGGCUAUGUUGGGCCAUCCAAUCACUUCCUAGUACUAUAUCAUGUCCAGGGAGAUCCAAUACUCUGAAUUGUUGUGUGAACUUGGUGUUGCCUGCAAUGAAGGUUGUGGGUGGGACAUAGGAGCCAGACCAGAGUGUUCCUCCUCCAGCAACAGUGACUGCUCUUGAGGUGUCUUUCAGGAUAGUGCAGUUGGUAGAUAGGGUAAACUUGAGGCUGAUGAAAGUUGAGUUGCUUCCAGAGUCCACUAGUGCAAUCCCUUGUUUUCCCCAAUCUGAACCAAAAGAGAAAUGGUAUUGACAUUGUCAGAUUUCAUGGCUUGUGCAGAAAGUGUCAUACAAUGCUCUUCCUGCUGCAAUUGUUCUUCCUCCUCUUGCUCCUCUAUUUCCUCAGGUUCCUUUGCUUGUUCAGUAGGGUCUUCUCUAGUCAGUACAUUUAGGACAGGAGCCAUUUUACAUUUGUGGCCAUGGAACCAUGCAUCUCCACAUCUCCAACAUUUACCAGGUUCUCUAGCUCUUUGAUUGAUAACAGCAGGUUUGGAUUCGGUUGGUUUCUCAUGGAGGACAGUGUUACUUUUCUGGUGGCCAGUGGAAAACUUAGUAGUCCCAGAGUAGCUGGUGUAUGAUUUCUUCUCAGCUGCUCCCUUUUCCAAGUCUACUACUAGCCAGUAUGCUUCUGUCAACCUUGUGGGUCUUAGAGCUCUCACUUGAAACUUGAUUUGAGAACGCAGUCCAUUCACAUAGCAUCUGACAAACCAGUUCUCAUCCAUGAUGGGAUUAUCUGAUUGUACCUCAGCCAUUAACUCUUCAAACUGGUCAGUGUACUCUGAUACAAUGAGGGUGCUCUGCUUGAGGGUAUUAAACCUAUCAGUCAGUUCAUAGGAACUAGCUAAUGAAAACCUGCGCAAUAUCUCCUCGCAGAAUUGUGCCCAAGUUAACUGCUUCUUCAAAAUCCCUGAACGGCGCAACCAUACAUCAGCUCUCCCUGUCACAUAUAGUUGUGCCAAGUUGACCUUGAAUUCGGCAGGUGCUCCAGCCAUUUGAAAAUAUUUCUCACAUUGACGGAUCCAGCCCGCUGGGUUAUCGCCAUCAAAGCGAGGGAAAUCCAUGCGUGGACCCUUAAUGAUGCUUUUGAGAAAUUGAGUACGCAUCUCUUGCUCAUAUUGUUUCUCGAAGUCAUCCCAAUUCUGACGAACACCGGGUGGUUGAAACCCAUGGAAUCCUGGGGUACGGGCAGAUUUAUAUGCCACAGUGGGUGUCGCAUUGCCCCAAUGUAUCUCCAGUGUCUGGUUUGCUCAGAAACCUGGUGGGAUAGCAGGCCUAGGUACCUGGAUUGGUGCUAGGUGGUUUGGGAUCUGUGAUGCAGCUAGCCUUGUUUUUUCUUGUUCCAGCACGAGACGUCGUCGCAUUUCUUCAGACAUAGUUCUCUCCACUGCUGCUGCUUCCUUCUGUGGUUGAUCAGGUGAUAGUUUGCCCUGUUGUGCCGAGCUCGAGGCUUCCGUGGGUCGAAGGGAUUUGAGCACAUCUGCCAUGGUAGAUAGCUGCGAACUGAGGGUGGAGACGGCUUUCUGUACUCCAUCAAGAACAGAAACCAUGGUGUCUUGCUUGAGAUUUAUGCUAUGCACAUCCUUUCGCAGGUCAUCAACUUCGCCCCUCAGAUCUGCUGUUUCUUCACGGUGUUGCAGGAAUUCUCACUUCAUUGCGAGCAGAUCCGCUACGUCAGACUCUUCAAGUCUGGAUUUAGAACGCCCCAUCGUGAUUCAGUGGCUACAGAGAGGAAUUUUACUGCCGGAACUUCUCCGGUAACCCGAUCUGGCACUGAAUCCUGCCGCCGCCUGCGAUUUCGCCUCCGAAAACAGCACCACCCGUAGCUUGACCUGGGAUUUUACUGGAAGAGCAAGAUGCUCCCCAACCAGUCGCGCUCAACGAGCUACCGUCGAAUUAGUCUACCGCCACCACGACCCCGCCACCUACGCCGCCAUUGCUGCCGAGAAAAGGGAGGGAAAGGGUGGGAAAAUUACUACGGCAGCUCCGAUCGAUCUCUUCGCCGAGGAAAGACUGCACUCAUGAUACGAAUUGUCACGCCCUAGCUGGGAUCGUAGCAAGCAACAAGGGGGAUUUCACUCAGAUCGGCAACGGAAACAGUGCUGGAAAUACUACAGUUAGCGGCACCUGAAUUAACUACAGUAACGGCGAGUAGCGAGAGCCGUUGGAUGCGCAGGAUCUUGGCCGUCCGUUAACUGAAAGGGGCGCUAACACUGGGAAUGCAGGUUCAGUCCUGACAUGUCAAAGCUGGACUUGAGGUGGUUCUGGCGACGUCGCAGUAGGACCGCGCAAACGACUCGCCGUCGGAGUCCAGCCAGCGGCGCGAGCUGGCGGAGCCGAGGUCGAGGUCGUCGGAGCUGCCGCUGGGGGACGCCAUGGGACGAGAGGAGGAGGGCUACCGGCGGGGAUUCGACGACGGCGAGGCUGGUGGGGGCUAGGCUAGGCAGAGCACAUGGGAGCCAUCCCACCUGGGCGUACCCAAGAAGUUUGAAAUGGUCAAAAUAAUAUACCAUUUGUGUAAGAAAUUUCAUUGUAUAAAACUACCUAGUCACUUGAAUGAAAGUGUGUUUCAUGCCGCCUCUAAGUAGUGAAUGACACACCCACAUAACUGGCUGCUUAAGGAAAAAAAAAUACGGGACAACUACCAGAUAUACUUGUUCACAAACUGCAUAAGUCUCUGCAGAAGUAUAAUAAAUCUUCCCAGAUAUAGAGGAACUUACUUUGGCAGUAUCAAACAUAUUUACGACAUAAAUAUGGAAAUCUCUCUGAAGCCAAAGAACAUCAUUGUCAGCUCCAUGGAAGAUCUGAAGCAAAAGAAAGCAGAACAUAAAUGAUUGCGACUUCUUAGAAACAAAAGCAUUGUGAAUAUUCUGUUGAGGUAAGCAUACAUCAAUAUUUCAAGGAAGUCAAAACAUAUUGAAGAGGGGAAGUACAUAGAAUAGAAUAAGGAAGACAUGGGAGAGUUAUUAUGAGAAAGUGGGCAUGCAAGAAUCAGGAUCACAUGUGCGCACAUUACAUCAUUGUGCCUUUGUGCUUAUAUGUGAGGUUCUGUCUACUAAUUCACUCAAUCACCAUGAUUUCAGUUGCAAGGUCGAGCUACAGGAGGAAGAGAGAGAGGGAUUACAGAAAGGGGAGGAAGAAGAUGAAGCCAAGCCUCGGUCGAAACCGCCGUCCUGAUCCAAGCCAAGCAUCCCCUGGUCCUCCCUUGUUGAUUUAUAGUAACUAGUCCUUCUACCAACUGGGCUGGGCCGAGCCGGAUAAGGGAGGCCCGUGGUAGGGUUGCUGACAAGCCCCCCUUCUUAAAUUUCGGCUUGCCCUCAAGCCGAUUACAUAUCAAACCACCAGGAUCCCAAAGCAUUUGUACCGCAAACUGAAACCAAUUACUAAUCAUCUCACCCGGAUCCCAACUCAUUUGCAAAGCUUGGGAGGUUAGCUCAUCAUGAAUCAUAGUUGGAAGCAAUGCAUUCGGUUGACCCAAUUUAGACCAAAGAGUCAAUCUUGUAAAUACUGGACAAUGGGAGUUGUAGGCCUCGUCGGUACUCACUGACCAGAGCACCCAAACAAUCUUCCAUAUCAUCCAAGGAGAAGCACUGGCGUUUACAAAUUGAUAGCUGACUAUCUCAAUAUCAGAGUACUCGACAAUGGAUUGCAGAUAUGUAUUGUCAGAAACAGAGCAAGCAUAGGAAUACUGAGCUGGGACAAUGAUAACCAUGCUGAAACCAUAUAUCUUCACAGACAAGGGAAAGCAAGAAAGGAUUAUGUGCACAGUUGCAGUCUCCCGAACCAUCAGGCAACUGAAUUCAAACCCCGGUUGUACAAAAUGGCCAUGAUAGAAAACAGAGGCAUGAGCUUGUGAAAGGGUGCAGUUCACUAACUCAAGAAAAGAGCACCGAACCCUGAUUUUCAGAGAUUUUUCGUCAGAGAACUCAACAUGAUUUUGAAAUUUUUGGCACCAAAUCACUGCUGCUUAACACUCACAUAAGAACCAGAUUGAGAUCUUGUCGAUGACAGAAAAGUAAUAGCAGAGUGACCAAGCGAUUUUCCACUGAACUUGUUCCGAAAUAGAGAAUGAAACAACUCCACAGAUGCAAGAUAGAAGUUCAUGAUGUAAUAAUGCAUCAUUGAAUGACCAAGCAAUCCUCCAUUGCGGCAACUCAAAACCACAGGAACUAGAGUAUGUCUUGAAGCAGGAGCUAAUAUUGUCUUGUAAGAGCAACUCUAGCAGACCCCGCAUCCCGCCCCGGCCCGCAAAAUAACCGCCAAAGUGCGGGUCGGGGCGGAAAAACCUGCCCGAUCAGACCUCGCAUCCCGCCCCGGCCCGCAAAUAUUUUUGCGGGGCACGGCAAAAUCUCGGCCCCAACCCGCGUAUUCCCCCCUCGCCGCUGCGGUGCCCUGCAUAUAAGUGGGAAGCGGUUGGUGGGGGGACAUUUCAGCCCGCGCUUUCCCCCCACCAACCACCUCCCCUUCUCCCCCCUUCGCCCAAGAUUCCGGCCGCCGGAUUUGGCUUUUGCCGGCCGCCGAUGGCUGCGCCAAGCGAUGGAGUGGUCAGGGAGCAUCUCCCGCAGCCCCGGCAAGGGCACAUCAGCGCAUGCAGGGACGGGUUCGUCCUCCCGACGCCGCCGACGAUUUGCGGGCAUGGAUUCGUCCGACCGUCCACCGGGCUCGGCGCUCGCGCAGCGGCUCUGUGGCUCGCCGUUGCCGCUCAUACAGUGCGACGACUGCACGCGGACAGUGUUGCGGCUUACUUCGGGCACGCCGAACCACCCCGGAUGGGUGUUCUCCAAAUGCGAAAACGACGGGGUACGUGCACUUGCGAUAUCUCAUUCUUUGGUUCAAUUGCGGAUCCUCAUUCCGAACAUGGUUAUUCUUUUGUGUAGGAAUAUGGAUGCUCAUUUUGGUUUUGGGAAGGCGAACACAUUGAUUUAUUGAUAGUAAAAAAGUUAAUAGAUGUCGAUGCACUCCUUAGUAGAAUAAAAAACAAUGAUGCGUCUGCAUGUGCAACGUCUACUUGUUUCGAACCAAAGAUGAAGAAUGAAGAAUGCAAGAUGAAGAAUCCGCAGAUCAACAAUGAGUGCAUGGAGAAGAUAUUGCUUCAACUAGUUGGAACAGUUAUGGAAGUUGGAAAUCUUCUAAAAUGCAUACUUGUGGUUCUUGUUUUCUUUGGUCUUGCUAUUCUAGCAAAGAUGUGGUGAUGUUUAUGUAUCCAAAUGUUGUUGGAAAAGCAAAGAAAUGUAUUAUUCUAGCAAAGAUGUGGUGCAAAUUUAGGUUUUCCGGGCCGAGAGGAGCUGCGCCAGAGCAGACCCUGCAAAGCCGACCCGUAAAAAAGCAUAUUUAUGCGAGGUCUGCAUCCGCGGCCGUGCGGGCCGGCCCGCAAAGGCGUUUUGCGGGCCGGACGGAUGCGGGGUAUGCUAGAGUUGCUCUAAGGGACCAAUCAGCCAUGCAAUCUCCCACUGAAUGUGUGCAAACAUAUAUCCAUGUAAUAAGGAUUUUCCCAUAGGGAAGAACUGGAACCCAUUCUUCAGCAGAGGUUGUAACCAUGGAAUCUGACACUGCAGAAGUUCUUUGUCCACCAUAGCAAACAAUGUGUUAUAGCAUGCAGCAUAGUCUCCUUUUCUUGUACAUAAGCAGCUGCAACACUGCAAUUCCUAGCUGUAUACUUGCUUGUUGGAGCAUACCAGUCAAGGGCAAUGGUCGAAGAUAAUGAAUCACUUCCACCACUACAGUUCAAUACCACUGCAAAAGAAUUCACACCAUCCAAAUAGACUUGGCUAGAUAUACCCAUUGAUUUCUUCAGCAGAGAAGCUCUGAAUGGCCUGCAGAGAAUGCCCUGAGUUGAGGACCAUGGAGAUUUCCACUCGAGCAGCUCAAUACCACACUGAAUAAUUUGCCCUACAACAGGGUACAACAAAAGUAGCAAACAUGGCCAUUAUGGUCUGCGUCCACUUGCAAUUCAGUUUAUGUGACCAAAAACUAUCAGGCUUCCUGCGUACAAACUAUACCACUGUCGGAAUCGGUGCUCAGCAGACCCAGAAAGGUUCAAACUCUGGGGUGCGCUCGCUCUCCUGUUCUAUCUCUCAACUUCACUGCGGCUCUCUGAUGGCACGAGCUAAGGAAAGCGAACAAGAACAUGCGAGCAGUUUACCCAGGUUCGGGCCACCUUGUGGUGUAAAACCCUACUCCUACUUUUAUAGAUUACUUGAGGUGGAAGACGAGUACAAAGGCGGGUUCUUGUCCUAGUGAAAAUGGUAGGGAUUCGGGCAUCCCUGCUACAGAGGUCGGGCCUCUUUUUUAUAGUGGCCUUGGUCCUCUUCCCUCGAAAACACAUUCCAUGGGAAGGGUCGCCACAACGGCCAUUUCGAAAGGGGACAGGACUGCGGCCCGCUCUGACAAAGGUGGUCUUCGCCUGCAAAAGCCCUUCUUCGUGACAUGCUGGUGGGCUCGGGGGGUGACCUCCGUCCUGCCGAGCCCCCAGCUUUGGAUCCCUAGCACCGAUCGGGAAACCUUUGGAGGGUUGCUUUGGGAACCCGCGGCUGGCUCGGCUCGCUUAACACCAAAGGGAAAACCUCUUUGUCCGUACCUGUUGGCACCGACUCUGGCGCCACACAGUGUGGCUCGCGUCACCCAUGUGGGGGGUUGGACCGUGCAACCCCGGCAGGCCGUCCUUGGUAAGUCCACCCCUCGGCGAGCCCCACGGGGAACGGCCUCGGGGGGGGGGGGGGUUCUCAAUGAUCAGCACCUCGUGAGGGUCGGACCCCUGGGCCUUAACGGGGAGCAUCCCCAGGCCCACAACGCGUACGGGGCUUUGGGCCGCAAGCAAGCGGGCCUGAGUACCCCCGGACCCAGAGCCCCGACAGUAGCCCCCGAGCCCGUGCAUUUAUGACCUGACAAUAGGGGCAAAAUGGUGCGGGCUCUCACCGCCUGUAGGCCAGGUCAAACGGGUGGUGCGCGAUGGGGCAAGGGGCACCCCGCCUUUUUGCAGCGCCUUGGUAUCCGCCCCGGCUGACAUAAAGUGGGCACGCGGGAGGGGAGCCGCCAUCACUCACCUUCACGCCGUGCCCACCUUUCCGCAUCUUCUCUCUCCGCGCAAGAACGCGCCAGAUCCAUUCUCCGAGCGAGUUGCCUUCUUGCCCCUCUUGCGGCUCCGGUCCACAGACGACGCCCAUCGGCAAGAAAGGGAAGGCCAUGGCUUCUGCCGCGAGCCCUGCCGCUACGGGGCCUGCUCUCAUGCCCUCCCACAUCUCCAAGGCGGAGGACCUGGGCCCAGUACUCCCGCUAGUGGCCGGUGACACGAACGAGGGGGAGCGACUGCCAUCCGGCCGGGCUCAGCAGCGUCGAGCUGCCUGGUGAAGACUGCCUACCCCUUCUUCCUCCAUAGUAUUUACGCCGGGCUGGUCCCGCCGUUCUCCGAUUUCUUCUACGCCAUCCUUUCCCAUUACUAGACCCGAUCCCUACACCUUCAGCCCAACUCCGUCCUCCUCCUGGCCAUCUUCGCCUUUUACUACGAGGCCUGCGUGGGCGUGAGGCCCGCGGUGGCACUCUUCCGCCACUUCUUCAGCUUGCGGUUCAUCACCCAGGUCAGCGUUCCGCGUGCGUCUCAUUUGUAGACGUCGCCGGCGCGGGCACCUACCUGAAGGCCGAGAAGGUGGAAGGCUACCGGCUGCGCACCCCUAUGGCGCGCCAAAUGUCGGAAUCGGGGCUCCGCAGACCCAGAAAGGUUCGAAUCCUGGGGUGUGUUCGCUCUCCUACUCUGUUCUACCUCUCAGCUUCACUGCGGCUCUCCGAUGGCACGAGCUAAGGAAAACGAACAAGAACACACGAGCAGUCUACCCAGGUUGUGUACAACCCUACUCCAGCUUGUAUAGAUUGCUUGAGGUUGAAGACGAGUACAAAGGCGGGUUCUUGCCCUAGUGAAAACGUUAGGAUUCGGGCGUCCCUACUACAGAGGUCGGGCCUCUCUUUUAUACUGGCCUUGGUCCUCUUCCCCCGGGAACACAUUCGGCGGGAAGGGUCGCCACAACGGCCAUUUCGAAAGGGGACAGGACUGCGGCCCGCUCUGACAAAGGUGGUCUUCGCCUGCAAAAGCCCUUCGCCGUGACGCGUUGGUGGGCUCGGGGGUGACCUCCGUCCUGCCGAGACCCCAGCUUUGGAUCCCUAGCACCGAUGGGAAACCUUUGGGGGUUGUUUUGGGAACCUGCGGAUGGCUCGGCUCCCUUAACACCAAAGGGGAAAACCUCUCUGUCCAUGUCUGCUGGCACCGACUCUGGCGCCACACAGUGUGGCUCGCGUCACCCAUGUGGGGGGUUCGACCGUGCAACCCUGGCAGGCCGUCCUUGGUAAGUCCGCCCCUCGGGGGAGGAACGUCAGGAGGCGUCUUCUAGAUGCGAGCCCCGCGGGGAACAGCCUCGGGGGGGGGGGACUCAAUGAUCAGCACCUCGCGAGGGCCGGACCCCUGGGCCGUAACGGGGAGCAUCCCUAGGCUCACAGCGCGUACCGGGCCCUGGGCCGUAACGGGGAGCAUCCCUAGGCUCACAGCGCGUACCGGGCCCUGGGCCGCAGGUACGCGGGCCUGGGUACCCCCGGUUCCAGAGCCUCGACAACCACUAUAGCUAUGUUCUUUGUUUUUCUCCAAACCAUCAGCCCCUUGUAAACAUGAUCAUGAAUAGCUCGCAAUUGUGUUGAAAUUAGGCAAGGAGAACAUGGUUGCUGAUGUUGAAUACAAGGGGUGUGCUGAAGUUGUAGCUCCGGCGGCGGCCAAGCCAGGCACCGUUCCUUUCCUAUGCCAUGAGAUUUCCUGUCAACUAUACGCAACUAUACUGGGAACCUUAACUGUAAUCACCUUGCGCGAUAGAACGACAACCAGCUUGGUAAUGACAACGUUGCCAAUGACGUUGGCGUCAAGCUCCCAGCUGAAUAUUGGUCGCAUGGGAGCACGCUGAGAACCAGUGAACAUGGGUACGAUUGAUUGUGUAGUGUUCAGCUUCAGCAAGGCCACAUUGUCGUCAUCAGCUUGUUGAGACUUUUCAUUGAGCAACUUGUGUGUCGAAUCCAGCUGAGCAUUGGUAACAAACAAGGGAUAAUGCAGAGGAAUGGGCGUCGCCGAGCAUCAUGGUGUGCGUGCUGACUUCAAAGCAUUCAGUUGAACAUUUGGCAGGAGCUAGCUUGCCAAGCGUGAUAUCCAACAAGGGAUGUAGCAUUUCGAUGGUUGUAACCUCUGUGGGUGUAGGAGCCGAAGUGGGUACCUCCAGCAGAGCCAUGGAACUGACCUCCGUGCUCACCUCACACCGUCACACGUAGCAGGAACGACACCGGUCGAGGUUGCCAGUGUUGCUGUUGUAGGAGUGGGUGUGGCUCUUGUUGCAUUGUUUCCUUCUCCUGAGCACUCGGUCGAACACAUGGUGGGCGUAGCUAGAGCAAGUUCUAAAUCAUCUGAGGCGGACACUGUUGUCAUGGAGGUGGAAGAGGAGAAGGCCGCAGAUUGUUCUAGGGUCACAACGAGCUCGGGUAGCGGUACCUUGUUGACCUGGAUGGCGUUGGCGGCAGGAUAGAGACCCAACGUCGAACAGGUGAUGGGCGUCUCCAACACAUGGUCCUCCUCGAACUGCAUGGUGGAUGCAGGCACGCCGAUGGGACACGUGGACACCAGAGGAGAUGUGUAUGGUGCCGCACCGGUGUCUCCUCCUGGGCUCGUCGAGUGGUUGGUGGACGACACAGCGAGGGAAGUGACGCCGCAUGAUUCGGGGGCGGCGGAAGUCGCGCUCGCCACGGAGAUGCCCGUGGCCGCUGGCGCUGGAGCGGGGUUGAAGGAGAAGGCGGCAACCUCCGAUUCAUGGGAACCGUCGGUCGUGAUGCCGCUGCUCGAGACGCACAAAGGCCUCGUCGAGCGCGUUGCUGACGAAGUCGGAAACGCCAGGUCGAAGAAGACAUGGCUCAUAGCCUGUGUCGACAGAGCAGGCGCAGUGGCGGUCACGAUUUCCUUGGCGCGCUCAGCGUCGUCGCGGCAGGGGACUCGACUGCAUUUCCGGCGGAGGCCGCCGAACAAAGCCUCCACGCCCUUCUCUAGCCUCUCCUUGGACUCAACGAAGCACCGAUCUAGUUCACGGGCUAGCUGGGUCCUGAGCACCUCAUACGUCGCUCGACCCUCCGGCGAGAGAGUCGCCAGGAGCUCCACGCGCCGUUGUGAGUCCAUGGAAUUGAUUGGGAAAAAAUUGGGUGGAUGUUUGGUGCAGAAUUGAACGGCUCUGAUGCCAAUUGUGAGGUUUUGUCUACUAAUUCACUCAAUCACCAUGAUUUCAGUUACAAGGCCGAGCUACAGGAGGAAGAGAUUGAGAGAGAUUACAGAAAGGGGAGGAAGAAGAUGAAGCCAAGCCUCGACCGAAGCCGCCGUCCUGAUCCAAGCCAAGCAUCCCCUGGUCCUCCCUUAUUGAUUUAUAGUAACUAGUCCUACCAACUGGGCUAGGCCGAGCCGGAUAAGUGAGGCCCAUGGUAAGCUUGCUGACAUUACACUUAGGGCAACGCUAUGCGUCCCUCGGCGGAUAAAACAAAAAAAAUGGCCGCCUCCCGGGCCAUCCGAUUGACGCAAAAAUAGCCAUCGGAUCUUUUCAAUCGCGUGCGUCAUGAAUUGCAACAAGCUAGUUGUUGCGAUUUUCAUUUUGCAACAUCGGCUUCGUUGCAAAACCACGUGAAGCAUUUUUGUUAGCGUGACAUGUUAUUUUCUUAAGCGUUACUUUUGCAACAAAGUUCAGGUUGGAGAAAAAAAUACUUGCAACAUAGCUUGCGUUACAAGAACUUUUUUUGCCUGUUAUCUUUUUGCAACAUAGAUGAUGUUGCAAAACAAUUUAUGCAACAAGGGUGAUGUUGCAGAAAAACUUUCAAUGAAAAAAUUAACACACUAACUACUUGUUGGGGCUUCAUUGUUUGUAACAUACUAUGUGUCACAAACUUAUGUUUGCAACACUCCUAAUGUUGCAAACUUGUUCACCGUCUCACGUAACGGUACGUGACAUAUGAUUGAAGUUAAAUCAAACGGCCACGGAGGAGGCGGAUACGCACGAAUCAUCCGCUGGUUGAAAUGUAACAUUUCCCUUACACUUAUUGACACAAAUAAGAUGCUAGCAUAUCUAAGAAGCUCUAUUUCAGUUUUUCUGUGUGGUAAAGCCAAAGAGAGCUUGGAAUUGUUAGGAAAUAUGCAACUUGUAUUUUCAUGAGGCCAUGGGCCAGUAUAUAUACAUGUACAGGUGUAGAAUAUGCAGGAAACCCCUUAUACAGUGGGGUAGAUACGAAAGGUUACAUGAGUAUAUAUAUAGUACUCUAACCACCCCCUCCCCCUCUCAAACUCAUGGUGGAUGAAUAACACUGAGUUUGAAGAGAUAGAAGCCAUGUUGCACUCUAGUAUGGGCCUUCGUCAGAAAAUUCACCAACUGUAACUCGAAAGGCACAUACUGAAGAGCAAUAACCUGAUCCUGCACACCAGCGCGCACAUAGAAAGCAUCAACACCAAUAUGCUUGGUGAGCUCAUGCUUCACAGGAUCGCGCGCAAUGCUAAUAGCACCUGUACUGUCAGAUAAUAGUAGAGUAGGUGUAGUGACAGAAACACCAAAAUCCUGAAGUAACCACCGUGACCAAGUUAACUCAGCCGUCAAAAGAGCCAUAGCUCGCAACUCAACCUCUGCACUCGAACGGGGAACCGCAGUCUGUUUCUUCGUCUUCCAAGCAAUAAGAUAACCACCAAGAAAAACAUAGUAAGCAGAAAGUGAACGGCGAUCUGAGGGAUCACUAGCCCACAUAGCAUCCGAAUAGGCCUGAAGAUUUAAGAACUGAAGCGAGGAAAGAACAGACGGUGAGAGAUCGUGCCCCGAAGAUAUCGGAGAACACGAAGGAGGUGACUAUAGUGAACCGAAGUGGGAGCAGAGACAAACUCACUCAGAAUAUGAACCGGAUAAGAGAUAUCCGGGCGAGUGACAGCUAGAUAGACAAGACUCCCAACAAGAUGAUGACAACGCGUCGGAUCAGGCAAGGGGUCACCAUCAGUAUCAUGGAGGUGAACACUGAGCUCCAUGGGAGUCUCAACGGUGCGCUCAUCAGUAAGAGCAGCACCAGCAAGAAGAUCUUGUAUAUACUUUUCCAGGGAUAUAAAAAAAGGCAUUCGAGGUAGAAGAGACUUCAAUCCCAAGAAAGUAGCGAAGAGGUCCAAGAUCAGACAUAGGAAACUGCUCACUAAGACGGGCCUUUACAAAGGCAAUAUAUUCGGGGUCGUCUCCAGUGAUGAUCAUGUCAUCGACAUAGAGAAGACGAAGAGUCCGUCUAUGAGGUGAAAGGUGGACAAACAACACUGGAUCAUGGGCACUCGUUGAAAAACCAACGGCAGCCACCAUAGAGGCAAAACGCUCAAACCAGGCGCGGGGGGCUUGCUUAAGGGCAUAGAGAGAGCCACGAAGACGACAUACCAUUGCCAUCAGGAACAGAAUACCCAGGUGGUAGUUGCAUGUAUACCUCCUCACGCAACUCACCAUUAAGAAAGGCAUUCUUAACACCAAGCUGAGAUACAGACCAGUGGUGUGCAGAGGCCACGGCAAGAAGUGUACGAAUAGUGGUCAUAUAUGGGCCACAGGAGCAAAAGUCUCGUCGUAAUCACGAUCGUGCUCCUGCUGAAAGCCACGAGCCACAAGACAAGCUUUGUAACGCUCAAGAGAACCAUCGGAGCGAGUCUUAACCUUGUAGACCCACUUACAAGUGAUGGGACAGACACCUGGAGGAAGAGAAACAAGAUCACCUGUACCGGUGCGUUCAAGAGCAACAAUCUCCUCUGCCAUCGCAAACUGCCAUUCAGGAUGAACAAUAGCAUGAUGAUAAGAAGUCGGCUCAAGAAUAGCAGCACUAGCGAUUGAAAAACCAAGGCGAUCAACAUGCGGAAGCGGACGAGGACGCAAGCCAUAGGUAGGCUGAGACGAGGAGAACGACACAUCAAUAGACGCAUCCACAUUACUAGAACGGCGAGUAUAAUACUGAGGAGAAGACGGGAGAAUACGAGGAGGAAUCUCCAGAAUAGGCGAUGGUGACGGAGAAGACACCGGGGAUGAAGGUGCAGAAUCCUGUGAUAAGUGAGGUGAGGAAACCAUGGGAGAUGAUGGCGUCGAAUCUGCAACGGUCGGAGAAGCAGGGGAAGUAGGACGAACCGGCAAGGGCUCAACAUGAGUGAUAGGUGUGUCAGGAAAAGUGAGAAAAGAUAUAUCCUCCACUUCAAAGGUCGAGGAAGAUGGACGCGGGUAGAAGGGACGAGACUCAUCCAAAGUCACAUCACGAGCAAUACGUAUCCGACGGCCAUCCCAACAACGAUGGCCCUUAUGCUCAUCGCUAUAACCUAAGAAGACACACUCAACUCAUUGAGUGGAUAGUUUGGUGCGUUCACGAGGGGCAAGAAGAACAUAGCAAACACAACCAAAUAAACGAAGUGCCGAGUAAUCGGGAGAACGAUCAAAGAGACGCUCGAAAGGAACGCCACCCUACAAAGCAAUGGACGGCUGAAGGUUGAUGAGAUAGGUGGAAGUGGAGACAGCCUCAGCCCAAAAGUGAGGCGGAAGAGAGGCGAUGAUCAUCAUCACACGAGCUGUCUCAAGAAGGUGACGAUGCUUGCGCUCAGCCACGCCAUUCUGAGCAUGAAGAACUAGAAGAUGGAGCUAUCAGUCAUCAAAAUCGCACAAUCCCAGGCUCGAUGGAAGACAGCACCAGCGGUACAGCAGGAGCGGCUCGAUGGAAGUAGCCAGGCUCGAUCCCGAUCCAGACGACGAGGCAGGAGAGGAUCGGUCGUGGGAUCGACCGGCAGCAGGAGCGGACGUGGGGACCGGCGGCUACGAUGGGGGAGAAAAGCAGCAGCGGCGCCACGAAGGAUCAAUAGCAUGAGUUGCGACGUGCAAAAAAUCGACCUAGCUCUAAUACCAUGUUAGGAAAUAUGCAACUUGUAUUUCCAUGAGGCCAUAGGCCAGUAUAUAUACAUGUACAGGUGUAGAAUAUGCAGAAAACCCCUUAUACAAUGGGGUAAAUAUGAAAGGUUACAUGACUAUAUAUAUAUAUAGUACUCUAACAGGAAUCAUGUGCUCCCGGCUCAAAAAGCAUUUUUCCAAAAAACUCCUCACCUGUAGAUGAGUCAUGACUCAUGAGUGAGCAGUGUUUCAUGCUUAUCCCCCUACGUGUAACUCUAUAUAUACUGGCCUGGGAUGCAGGAUGAAAUAACCUGUUUUUGUUAGGAUGUACAGGCUAUCCCUGUAAUACCCGUCCUAAACGCACAGUGCUAAAAGCAUACGCCAUAGGCAGCGUGUUGCCUAGUCACCGACGUGUACUAUUCCAGACCUUCCAAGGCCCAGUUUAUUACUGAAAUGCAUAAAUUUUAAGUACUACUUUUAAGCAGCUAAUUGUAGUGCUGGAAACGAAAAUAAAUGGCUGCCUAAUGACAUCAGAUUUAAAAGAUAGACUACCUUACAGAUGGACGGACUGGCAAAAACUGGACGUAGAAUAGCCAUCACAUCAUGUAGCGCAAUUGUGUCUAUCAAAUAGUCUUCCUUCUGGGUAGAUAUCUACAAAGAAAAAAUACAACCUUAUAAUAAACUAAUAAGCAGAAAAGCAUCAAUAAUGCAUCUGUUGGCAGUUACCUGCACGAGUGCAGUAUAUCCUAGGAAUGACCGAAAGCUAUGUUGCUCUGUAUCAACACCGAAAGCUUUUUCCUCCCCCAACAAUCCAGCCAGAUGCUCCAAUUGAGCUUCUGUAGUGACCCAAUUGUAUGAUGCACUCAUUUCUGGGCAUUGGCUGCUCGGUGUGAAGUUACAAAAAGUCGAAUAUCUGGUGGGGUUGUCCAGUAAGGAAGUAAUUUCAUCCUCAAAUGGGUGCAUCUUUUGUGAUGAUUCUGAAAUGAUGGCAAAAGGGGCAUUAAUUUCGGGUUAUGAUCAAAGGUACAAUUAAUUUGCUUAUAGUGAACAUUUAAAGAUUAUUAAAAAUAUUGUACAAACAGCUUUUAAACUUCACAGUUGCACUAUAUCGAUGUGAAUAGCUGCUUAGGCUCCUGGGAUAAAUAAGCACAAAAAGAUUUAGUAAAUUGUCUAGUGAGGAUUAUUACUUUAUUGAGAGCAAUCGAUUGUUUCAGAUAUUUAUAUGACUUAUAUGGAUGUACUCGCUCCGUUUCUAAUUAUAAGAUGCUUUAGAUAUUGCAAUAUGGACUAGAUACGGGUUUAAAUGAGUGAAUAUACACACUAAAACGCGUCUAGAUGCAUAAGAAUCUGAGAAAAAUAGAGAAAAACUAAAAACAUCUUAUAUUUAGGAACGGAGGGAGUACAAGUGUACGAUCUUAUAUAUACAGGGCAAAAUACAGUUUCUAGUGCUGAUACAGCAGAAGGUCACUACCUUCAUUAGCUAAGUACUCCCUCUGUACUAGUCAUGGGCAAAUGGAAGCAUGCAGCGGACCAGCAUUAUGCUGCACUUUACACAUGGUGGCAACGCGGCAGCUGCACUCCAAUACGAAGCGUAUUGACCACCUAACCCGACAACUGUAGUUUGCAACUGCGCGUGACUAGCAGCACGGUAAUGCACACCCUGAAUGCAAGUGUGGCAGAAGGACAGGUCAAAAUUCAGCAGCAAUAGUCAAACUCGGUACGACCUUCGGACGAAGUGUUCGAUGAAAUGCCCCACACAACAUAUACUACUACAGCCGAGUCUUAAUCUCGUCAGUCAGCCAUCGCAAUGUACGGUGGAGCUUCACAACCUCGCAACCCUACACGCCAGCUCCUCAAAUCAAAAAUAAAUAUCCCGUGCAAAUGAGCGCAAUGACGAGGCCAAAAUGAGCGGCGCACCUUGCGGUUGCGGCUUAGCCUCGCCGGGGUGGGCGUCAACAACCUGAUCGGCACCCUGACGGCGGAGGUGCUUGAAGGGGGAGUAAGAGUUAUCUGCGAGCACGCGCUUGAACCGGCCCUGCGGUUUCACCUCCUCUUCGCAGGCACGGCGCGCGCGGCGGGAGCGCCGCUCCUCGACGCGACGAGGCGAGGUGGGCGAUGUACCUCGGCGGCGCCUGCGAUGGAGAAGCGCCGCCGCCACGAGGAACGCGAAGCACGCGGCGGCCGCCGCCAAGGCGGGGCGCGACUUGAGGUUGACGGUGUGCAUCUCGCUCGCGGUAGUGACGGACGGAUCUUUGCUCGGUUUGGUAUAUUGGACCGUUAACGGUAAGAUAAUAAAGGGUGUUUGUUUAUAAGGACUUUUUUUUUAUGUAGCCUAUGUAGCUUAUGUCAAACAAACAGGAGGGACUUUAGGUCCUAUAAGCCUUUGUAAUGUUGUUUAUAAGAUCAUAUCUAAGAUGUUGGCUAAUAGGCUGAAAAAGAUUCUUCCAGAAGUCAUUUCACCAACACAGAGUGCGUUUGUCCCUUGGAGACUUAUCACUGAUAAUGUUCUUGUAGCAUAUGAAUGCUUUCAUGCCAUAAAGAAAAAACACACGAAUUUGCUGGUUUAUGUGCUGUCAAAUUGGAUAUGCACAAGGCAUAUGACAGGGUUGAAUGGGGAUUCCUGGAAUCAAUGAUGCAAUGAAUGGGGUUUCAUGAGCACUGGGUGGAGCUAAUGAUGGAAUGUAUGUCUUCAGUACGUUACAAAAUCAGAGUCAAUGGUGAUGAAACAGAGGAACUGAUACCAACCCGGGGUUUAAGACAAGGGGAUCCAUUAUCCCCAUAUCUAUUCCUAAUUUGCUCUGAAGGCUUAUCUAGUAUGCUCUUGCAAGAAGAAGAAAAUGGGGGACUGGAAGGAGUGAAAGUGUGUAAAAAUGCACCUUCAGUUUCACAUUUGCUAUUUGCAGAUGAUUCAUUAAUUUUAAUGAAGGCCAAUCAGGAAAGUGCUCUCACAUUGAAAAAGGUACUUGAUAUGUAUUGCCAAAACUCUGGCCAGAUGGUAUCCACGGGAAAAUCCAGUAUAUUCUUUAGUCCCAAUACAGCAGUUGCAGUAAGAGAAAGCAUCUGUGGUACACUCGAUAUAUUAACUGAGGCUUUAACUGACAAGUAUCUCGGUUUACCAGCAAUGGUUGGAGUUGAUAGAAGUGACUGCUUCCAGCAUCUUGUUGAUAGAGUAUGCCAGAAACUAAAGGGAUGGAAAGAAAAACUAUUAUCAUUGGGAGGUAAAGAGACCUUAAUCAAGGCAGUGGCACAAGCAAUUUCAUCUUAUGCCAUGUCAGUUUUUAACCUACCAAUGAACAUUUGUAAGGCUAUAACAGAUGAAAUUGUGGGCUUCUGGUGGGGAGAUGAUGAGCUGAAAAAGAAAAUGCACUGGAUGGCGUGGUGGAAGAUGUGCGUUCCAAAGAGGAUGGGAGGACUUGGGUUUAGGGACCUGCAUAGCUUUAACCUUGCUAUGUUAGCAAAGCAGUGUUGGCGCCUAAUCCAAAACCCAGAAUCUUUGUGUGCUCGUGUUCUUGGUGCAAAAUAUUUUCCUAAUGGUGAUUUGCUAAAGGCUGGUCCAAAGAAUGGCUCUUCAUACACUUGGCAGAGCAUUGUGGCCGGAAUUCAAACCUUUAAAAGGGGGUGUAUCUGGAGAGUUGGUACAGGAUAGAAAAUAAAUAUAUGGACAGACCCUUGGAUCCCUACAAGCAACAACCGAAAGGUUAUAACACCUAAGGACGUAUGUUACUAUCAAAAGUGGAGGAGCUCAUUGAUCCUUAUACUAGACAAUGGGACGAAGAAUUGAUCUAUGACAAUUUCUUCCCUGUUGAUGCACAUCGCAUCUUACAGAUUCCACUGAAUGUGCAUGGAUUGGAUGAUUUUGUGGCAUGGCAUUACAACAAAUCGGGCACCUUAUCUGUCAGAUCCGCAUACCAUAGAGAAUGGGAACACAAAUUUGGACAGAAGUUACAUGCAAGUAAUGGCCAAGGUAGUAUGCAAGUGAAUGAAGCUUGGGGUGGGCUUUGGAAGCUGAAAGUCCCGGGGAAGAUUAAACAUUUCCUAUGGAAAGUCUUGCAUGGUAUCCUACCAUGUAUGGGUGUUCUUACCAAUCGGUAUAUUGCAACACAUGCACAUUGUCUAAACUGUAACCAGGGGGCUGAAGAUAUUCAGCACUGCCUAUUCACCUGCAAACGGGUCAAAGAGAUAUGGAAGGAGUUGGGUUUAUUGGACAAUAUCAGGAAAGCAACCUGCAGGGAUAGAUCGGGUUCAGUUAAUAUGGAACAAUUGCUCUUUGAUAAACCAGAGCUUUCUGCCUCAGCAGACUUGACGUUCCCUGAACUUGUUGCGGUGGCUGCAUGGUACCUAUGGUGGCAACGAAGACAGUUAAAAAAAGGGGAACACAUUCAGCCUGUAGGGAGAGCUGCAAUCACGAUCAAAGCUUUGACUUCCAACUUCUGGCAUGCAUCUGAUAAAAGGGUGGAAAGAACAAAAGAAGAGCAUAGAUGGGUUAAGCCCAGACAUGACUUUCUGAAAGUAAAUGUGGAUGCAUCGUUCGUUGAAGAGGAUAAGGCUGGGGCAACAGGAGCAAUUAUCAGAGAUGAAUGGGGACAUUUCAUAGCAGCAGCAACACAGUAUAUUCCAAAUGUUUCUGAUGCUGCAGCGGCCGAGGCACUAGCUCUUCGGAAUGGGCUCAUUCUCGCAGCUCAUAUUGGAUGUUCAAAACUAGAAGCUGAAGUUGAUUGCCAGCUGGUGAUUGAGGCAGUUAAGGAUUCGGUUGGUUUCUUAGGAGCUGAAUAUGCAACUAUCUUUGAAUGUAGGCAGAUUGCCAGUGAGAUUGGGCAGAUUCAAUUUGGUCUAUGUAAACAGGAAGCUAAUCAAGUAGCUGAUGCCUUAUCCAAGGAAGCUUAUAAAACUAGAAGCUCUAUUACUUGGGAUAAUGACCCUCCUAGUUUCAUUACAUCUCUAAUUGUAAAGGACUUCUCUAUUCUUUGAUGAAUGAAAUGAUCACACUGUCAAAAAAAACAGGAGGGACUUUAGGCCCCGCUUGGUUUGGGUGUAUUUUUAUACACUGGGUCUUUUGGGGACUUUUUGGCACAAUUUUCAACAGUGUCCUUACUUUUAGCAUGUCAUUUAAUAAUUUCUAGUACAUUACUAGGGGUAACAUGGUCCUUUUGCAUGUCAUUUAAUGACCUCUGGUCCUUGUUUAGUACAUGAAAACAAACGGGUAGGGACUAGGGACUUUUUAGUUGGGUACGGCCUCAUAUCGUGUCAUUCGACGUAGCGAAACGCAUGAUGAUCUUCAUAAGGAUCUCAUCAAGGAGUGGUGGACAUGUAAUGGACGACAAAACGCAUGAUGAUUUGUAUGUUGGAUGUACAUUUUAUGUUGUAGUGUCGAACUAUUUGUUGUAUUGGAAGAUAAACAAUUUGUGUGUAUUGUAAUAAAAUUGGACUAUUUAUUGUUGAUUAUUUUCUAUGUGUUUGAUAUUUUUGGUUUUUGUUUGGAGUGUAUAUGUUGUUUGUGUUGUUCGCGCUGUUUAUUUGCAGCCCCUGUUGGAGCGGCUCACGCACGCUAUAGUUUUUAGCAGCCGCUGGAGCCAGUGCUCGGGUGCACGCAAAAACCGACUAUUUUGACGCGAUAAAGUGUGAAAGGACGUGGAUGUCGUCUAGAGGGGGGUGAAUAGGCGCUUUAAAAUAAUUACGGUUUUAGGCUUGAACAAAUGCGGAAUAAAACUAACGUUUAAUAUGUCAAGCACAAAACCUAAAACAACUAGGCUCACCUAUGUGCACCAACAACUUACGCUAAGCAAGAUAAACAACUAAGUGAUAGCAAGAUAUAUGACAAGAAACAAUAUGGCUAUCACAAAGUAAAGUGCAUAACUAAAGGGUCCGGUAAGAGAUAACCGAGGCACUGGGAGACGAUGAUGUAUCCCGAAGUUCACACCCUUGCGGAUGCUAAUCUCCGUUGGAGUGGUGUGGAUGCACAAUGCUCCCCAAUAUGCCACUAAGGCCACUGUAAUCUCCUCACGCCCUCGCACAAUGCAAGAUGACGUGAUUCCACUAAGGGACCCUUGAGGGCGGUCACCGAACCCGUACAAAUGGCAAACCUUGGGGGGCGGUCACCGGUACCCGUACAAAUUGCUCGAGGCAAUCUCCACAACCUAAGGAUUAUUCUAAAGCUCCAACUGUGAUACGUAGGGGUUACAUUAGACCACUUGCACCCCCUGAGGAGAUUAGAGUUGAACCUAGUGUUGCUAUUAUCAAAGAUCUCUUAGCCGAAGACAUAGACGGGCAUGUUAUCAAAUUAUGUGAGGACUCCGCUAGAAUUGCUAAACCUCACGCGAAAGACAAACACGGACCUGUAGUUGGCCUGCCCGUUGUUUCUGUUAAGAUGGGAGAUCACUGUUACCAUGGUUUAUGUGAUAUGGGAGCUAGUGUUAGUGCAAUACCCCGUUCUCUAUAUGAUGAAAUCAAAGAUGAGAUUGCACCUGCUAAGUUAGAACCCAUUGAUGUCACUAUUACGCUAGCUAAUAGAGACACUAUCUGCCCUCUAGGAAUUGUGAGAGACGUAGAAGUCCUGUGUCGUAAGACGAAGUAUCCUACUGGUUUCCUCGUCCUUGGUACUGCACAAGAUAGCUUUUGUCCCAUCAUAUUUGGUAGACCCUUUCUCAACACUGUCAAUGCUCACAUCGAUUGCAUUAAGCAGACCGUCAUAGUAAGUUUCGAGGGUGUGUCUCAUGAAUUUAACUUCUCCAAGUUUGGAAGACAACCCCAUGAAAGAGAGUCGUCUGGUAGAGAUGAAAUCAUUGCUCUUGCCUCUAUUGCCGUACCUCCUACGGAUCCUUUAGAGCAAUAUCUGCUUGAGCAUGAAAAUGAUAUGCAUAUGGAGGAGAGAGAUGAGAUAGAUAGAAAUGUCUUAGAACAACAUCCUAUUCUCAAGAAUAAUCUGCCUGUUGAACUGCUUGGGGAUCCUCCCCCACCAAAGGGUGAUCCUGUGUUCGAGCUUAAACAGUUGCCUGUUACUCUUAAGUAUGCCUAUCUUGAUGAGAAGGAGAUAUAUCCUGUCAUUAUUAGUGCUCUCCUCUCAGAGCGUGAAGAGAAGAAGUUACUAAAAACUCUGAGGAAGCACCGCGCUGCUAUUGGAUAUACUCUUGACGAUCUUAAGGGUGUUAGUCCUACUCUAUGUCAGCACAAGAUUAAAACCGAUCCUGACUUUAAACCAGUUGCUGAUCAUCAAAGGAGAUUAAAUCCUAAGAUGAAAGAGGUCAUUAGAAAAGAAAUAUUAAAGCUUCUGGAAGCAGGAAUCAUUUAUCCUGUUGCUCAUAGUGAUUGGGCAAGUCCAGUACAUUGCGUACCUAAGAAGGGAGGUAUCACCGUCGUUCCUAAUGAUAAGGAUGAACUAAUCCCACAAAGGAUUAUUACCGGCUAUAGAAUGGUGAUAGACUUCCGGAAACUGAACGAGGCAACCAGGAAAGAUCAUUAUCCUUUGCCGUUCAUCAACCAAAUGCUAGAAAGGCUAUCAAAGCACACACACUUCUGCUUUCUAGACGGUUAUUCAGGUUUCUCACAAAUACCUGUUGCACAAUCUGAUCAAGAGAAAACCACUUUCACCUGCCCUUUCGGUACCUUUGCCUAUAGACGUAUGCCUUUUGGCUUAUGUAAUGCACAUACCACCUUCCAAAGAUGUAUGAUAGCCAUAUUCUCUGACUUUUGUGAAAAGAUUGUCGAGGUUUUCAUGGAUGACUUCUCCAUUUACGGGUCUUCCUUUGAUGAUUGCCUCAGCAACCUUGAUCGAGUCUUACAGAGAUGUGAAGAAACCAACCUCGUCUUGAAUUGGGAGAAGUGCCACUUUAUGGUUAAUGAAGGUAUCGUCUUAGGACACAAAAUCUCUGAAAGAGGCAUUGAAGUUGAUAAGGCUAAGGUUGAUGCAAUUGAGAAAAUGCCUUGCCCCACAGAUAUCAGAGGUAUACGAAGUUUCCUAGGUCAUGUUGGUUUCUAUAGAAGGUUCAUUAAAGACUUCUCUAAGAUUUCUAGGCCUCUUACCAAUCUCUUGCAAAAGGAUGUUCCUUUUGUUUUUGAUGAGGAUUGUGAGGAAGCCUUCGAAAUACUUAAGAAGGCUUUGAUAACCGCACCUAUUGUUCAACCACCUGACUGGAACUUGCCCUUUGAAAUCAUGUGUGACGCUAGUGAUUAUGCUGUUGGUGCUGUUCUCGGACAAGGAGUUGACAAGAAGUUGAAUGUCAUUCACUACGCUAGUAAAACUCUAGACAGUGCCCAAAGAAACUAUGCCACUGCGAAGAAGGAAUUUCUAGUAGUCGUGUUUGCAUGUGAAAAGUUCAGAUCUUACAUAGUUGACCCCAAAGUCACUAUUCACUCUGAUCAUGCUGCUAUUAAGUACCUCAUGCAGAAGAAGGACGCUAAGCCUAGGCUGAUCAGAUGGGUUCUCCUGCUACAGGAAUUUGAUUUGCACGUCAUUGACCGAAAGGGUGCUGAUAACCCUGUAGCUGAUAACUUGUCUAGGCUAGAGAAUGUCCUUGAUGACCCCCUACCUAUUGAUGAUAGCUUUCCUGAUGAGCAAUUAAAUGUCAUCCGCACUUCACGUAGUGCACCGUGGUAUGCCGAUUAUGCAAACUAUAUCGUAGCCAAAUACAUACCACCCAGUUUCACCUAUCAACAAAAGAAGAAAUUCUUCUUUGAUUUGAGACACUACUUUUGGGAUGAUCCUCACCUUUAUAAGGAAGGAGUAGAUGAUGUUAUUAGACGUUGUGUGCCUGAACACGAACAGGGACAGAUCCUGCAGAAGUGUCAUUCCGAAGCCUACGGAGGACACCAUGCUGGAGAUAGAACUGCCCAUAAGGUAUUGCAAUUAGGUUUCUAUUGGCCCACUCUCUUCAAGGAUGACCGUAAGUUUGUCUUGUCUUGUGACGAAUGCCAAAGGAUAGGGAACAUCAGUAAGCGUCAGGAAAUGCCUAUGAACUAUUCACUUGUCAUUGAACCAUUUGAUGUCUGGGGCUUUGAUUAUAUGGGACCCUUCCCGAGUUCCAAUGGGUACACUCACAUCUUAGUUGCUGUGGAUUAUGUUACUAAGUGGGUAGAAGCUAUCCCCACUAAAAAUGCCGAUCACCACACCUCUAUUAAGAUGCUUAAAGAAGUCAUAUUUCCAAGAUUUGGAGUCCCUGGAUACUUGAUGACUGAUGGCGGUUCACACUUCAUUCAUGGUGUUUUCCGCAAGAUGCUAGCUAAGUAUGAUGUCAACCAUAGAGUUGCAUCUACUUAUCAUCCUCAGUUAGUGGUCAAGUUGAGUUGAGUAAUAGGGAGAUCAAGUUGAUCCUACAAAAUACCGUCAAUAGAUCUCGAAAGAACUGGUCUAGCAAACUUGACGAUGCAUUAUGGGCUUAUAGGACUGCUUAUAAGAAUCCCAUGGGCAUGUCACCAUAUAAAAUGGUUUACGGUAAGGCCUGUCAUUUACCUCUUGAGCUGGAACACAAAGCUUAUUGGGCAAUCAAAGAGCUCAACUUUGAUUUCAAACUUGCCGGUGAGAAGCGGUUGUUUGAUAUCAGCUCGUUAGAUGAAUGUAGAGCCCAGGCAUAUGAGAAUGCCAGGUUGUUCAAGGAAAAGGUUAAGAGAUGGCACGACAAACAAAUACAGAAACGAGAGUUCAAUGUAGGUGAUUAUGUCUUGCUAUACAAUUCUCGUUUGAGAUUCUUUGCAGGCAAGCUUCUCUCUAAAUGGGAAGGUCCCUAUGUUGUCGAGGAAGUAUAUCGUUCCGGUGCCAUCAAAAUCAAUAACACGAAAGGAAAUUUUCCUAGAGUGGUAAAUGGUCAAAGAAUCAAGCAUUACAUCUGUGGUACUCCCAUAAAUGUUGAGACCAAUAUCAUCAAUGUCAUGACUCCAGAGGAGUACAUAAGGGAUGUUUAUCAGCCUGUUUCAGACCUUGAAAACGAAGGUGUAUCUGUUUCGGCAAGAAAUUGGACUCCGAUACUUUUCCAAUAGGAAAUUUCUUCCGUUUUGGAUUUUUUGGAAAAUUAGAAAAAUAAAAAGCAGUCCGGGGAGCAAACGAGGCAGCCACAAGGGCCCACUCCGCCACCCCCCUGGUGGGGGUUGGCAAGCUUGUGGGCACCUCGUGUGCCUCCCGGACUCCGUUUUCCUACGGAGGACUCCUUCUGGCCCAGAAAAAAUCAAUAUAUAGUCGCCUGAAGGUUUUGAUCUCCGUAUCGCAUAGUUUUCCUAUGUUUUCGUUUCGAGCUUGUUUCUGCCGCAGAUCUAGAUCAUCAUGACUUCCCCAAACGCUCCUAAGGACAAGAUCUUCGAGAAGGUCAUCAAUCCCUACCUCACGGAAGUGCUGAAACACCCUCAAUCUAUCAAGAUGAGCGAGGGGAUGUUGCACAUCCGUGAGGUUGAGGGGCCUAAGAAGACCGGAAACGUGGAGACGAGGCUCGAAGCAAUGGAGCAACAAGUCUUCAAGUGCCAAGGGAUGGUUGAGCGUGGACUCAACGCCAACCACACGAUGAUCACGGAGUUCACUAGCAAUCACAAGAUGGAUGCCAUUGAUAUUGGGAAACACCUCUCCAGGCUUUACGAUAGGGUUGACCAACUUCACGGCCAGAUCUAUGACGUGCAGAAUCAAAACUGUGAGUAUGAGUACAUAUUUAAAUCAAUAAGGUUGGCUGCAGAUUUGAGGAUUCCGGCGACUCGUUCAUCCUGCCAUGAUGGAGCACCUAUGCCUUGGAAGACGGAGGAUCAGACUACUCCAACAACACCACCAUCACCACCAAAGGAAGACAACUAAGCAUUGGUAUGGGCAAUCCCCUUGGCUUCUGCCAAGCUUGGGGGAGUUGCCCUGGUAUCGUAUCACCUUUAUAUCUUUUGCUUUUACCUUUGUUUUAGUUCUUUCCUUUUUCAGUUUUUAUUUCUUCUUUUAGAGGAAUAAGUCUUUAGUUUUUAGUUUGAGUCUUUUGCUUUUGUCUCUCCCCCGAUGUAUUCGAGCUUACGAGCUAUAUAAUAAAGAGUGUCAUAGUCAAGGGCUUUGCUUUGUGCCAUGAUCAAAAGUAUGAAAAGAACGAUAGCAUGAAAGAUCAUGAGACGAUCCUAUGGAAAGUGAUAACUUCACUUAUGACACGUAUGAUGAUUGAAACUUGUUGAGAAUAAAUCAACAUAGACCUCAGUCAUUGUUGCAAUUAAUAAGAAGUAAUAAGGAAAGAGAGGUUCACAUAUAAAUAUAUCAUCUUAGACACUUUUUACAACUGUGAGCAUUCACCAAACUAUUACAUGCCUAAGAGUAGAUGUUGGACAAGGAAGACAACAUAAUGAAUUGUGUUUGCUUGGUUCCAAACAAUGUUAUAUGAUUAGAGAUCCCUUAGCAUGUGACGAUUGCUUCCACCUCAUGUUAGCCAAAACUCCCGCACCAAGUAGAGAUACUACUUGUGCAUCCAUAAACCUCCAACCCAGUUUUGCCAUGAGAGUCCACCAUACCUACCUAUGGAUUGAAUAAGAUCCUUCAAGUAAGUUGUCAUCGGUGCAAGCAAUAAAAAUUGCUCUCUAAUAUGUAUGGUCUAUUAGUGUGUGGAACAUAAGCUUUGUACGAACCUGUGAUGAGGAAGACAUAAAAGCGACAGACUGCAUAAUAAAGUUCUUUGUCACAGGAGGCAAUAUAAAGUGACGUUCCUCCGCACUAAGAGGACACGCAUUAAAACCUCAAAAGCGCAUGACAACCUCUGCUUCCCUCUGCGAAUGGCCUAUCUUGUACCUUUACUUUUUACCCUUGUAAGAAUCAUGGUGAUCAUCACCAAUUCCCUUUUUGCCUUUGUCUUGGCUACCGUCACAUGCUUGGGAAAGAUCUAUAUUCAUAUAUCAACUUGGAGUUGAGUACUCAUGCUUUAUUUUUGUUGACUUUACCCUUGAGGUAAAUGGUUGGGAGGCAAAACUAUAAGCCCCUAUCUUCCUCUGUGUCCAGCUGAAACUUUGACACCAUGAGUACCACGUGAGUUGUAAUAAUUGUGGAAAACAAAAGAGAUGAUUGAGUAUGUGGGGUUGCCUUACAAGCUCUUAUUUGACUCUUUCUGAUGUUGUGAUAAAUUGCAAUUGCUUCAAUGACUAUGGACUAUUGUUGGUUACUUCUCGGUACGGUUUUUGCUUCAUGCUUUGCUUUGUGAAGGAAUCGUUACUUUCCCAUAAGAAUCUUUAUGAUGUAUUGCUGUUCUAUGUGUGAUCAUGAUGCCCUCAUGUCUGUAUUAUGUUUUAUCGACACCUUCGUCCCCAAACAUGUGGACAUGUUUAUGGAACUUGGUUUUCGCUUGAGGACAAGCGAGGUCUAAGCUUGGGGGAGCUGAUACGUCCAUUUUGCAUCAUGCUUUCAUGUUGAUAUUUAUUGCUUUUUGGGCUGUUAUAUUACUUGUGGUACCAUAUUUAUGCCUUUUCUCUCUUAUUUUGCAAGCUUUAUUUGAAGAGGGAGAAUUCAGGCAGCUGGAAUUCUGGACUGGAAGAGGAGCAAAUCCUAGUCCACUAUUCUGCACAUCUCCAAAUGCCCUGAAAAUUUACGUGGAUUUUUUCUGGAAUAUAUUGAAAAUACUAGGCGAAAGAACUACCGGAGGGGGGCCACCAGGGCCCCACAAGCCCCCACUCCGCCACCACCCCCCUGGUGGCGGUGGGCAAGCUUGUGGGCUGCUUGAAGGCCCACUAGCCCCCCUCUUUUGCUAUAUGAAGCGUCCUGGUCUGGAAAAAAUCAGGAGGGAGCUUUUUCGUGGUUUCGCCGCCGCCACGAGGCGGAACUUGAGCACAUCCAAUCUAGAGCUCCGGCAGGACGAUCCUGCCGGGGAAACUUCCCUCCCGGAGGGGGAAAUCGUCGCCAUCGUCAUCACCAACACUCCUCUCGUCGGAGGGGAGGCAUCUUCAUCAACAUCUUCAUCAGCACCAUUUCCUCUCCAAUCCCUAGUUCAUCUCUUUUAACCAAUCUCCGUCUCGCGACUCCGAUUGGUACUUGUAAGGUUGCUAGUAGUGUUGAUUACUCUUUGUAGUUGAUGCUAGUUGGAUUAUUUGGUAGAAGAGUUUAUGUUCAAAUCCUUGAUGCUAUUCAUUACACCUUUGGUCAUGAUUAUAAUUAUGUCUUGUGAGUAGUUACUUUUGUUCCUGAGGACAUGGGAUAAGUCAUGUUAAUAAUAGUCAUGUGAAUUUGAUAUUCGUUCAGUAUUUUGAUAUGUUGUAUGUUGUCUUUUCCUCAAGUGGUGUUAUGUGAACGUAGACUACAUAACACUUCACCAUAUUUGGGCCUAGAGGAAGGCAUUGGGAAGUAGUAAGUAGAUGAUGGGUUGCUGGAGUGACAGAAGCUUAAACCCCAGUCUAUGCGUUGCUUCGUGAGGGGCUGAUUUGGAUCCACUAGUUUAAUGCUAUGGUUAGACUUUGUCUUAAUUCUUCUUUUGUAGUUGCAGAUGCUUGCGAGAGAGGUUAAUCAUAAGUGGGAUGCUUGUCCAAGUAAGUGCAGUACCCAAGCGCCGGUCACCCACAUAUCAAACUUUCAAAGUAACGAACGCGAAUCAUAUGAACAUGAUGAAACUAGCAUGACAGAAAUUCCCGUGUGUCCUCGGGAGCGUUUUUCCUCCUAUAAGACUUUGUUCAGGCUUGUCCCUUGCUACAAAAGGGAUUGGGCCACUUGCUGCACCGUUGCUACUAAUUUUUACUUGUUACUCUUUGCUUGCUAUGUUUCACCUCGCUACAUAAUCACUUGUUACCGCUACUUUCAGUGCUUGCAGUUAUUACCUUGCUGAAAUCCAUUUAUCAGAGCCUUCUGCUCCUCGUUGGGUUCGACACUCUUACUUAUCGAAAGGACUACGAUUGAUCCCCUAUACUUGUGGGUCAUCAGUGGUCGACACAAUUCCUUAUAACUGAUAGGGUCACUCUAUUGGUGAUGCAGAUCAAGGUUUGCAUAUAUUAUGUCCAGAUUAUCAUAGGCGAAAGUGGCAUCACUCUGCAACAGUGCCCAGGGUUUCACCAUCUUCUAAGCCUCGAUGUCCUUGUUCCUCAUGGAGGUACUUCUGUUGGUGUCGUCUGGUCGCAGAGUUGUCUUCUUUGUCUUUCAGCACAAGUGUUUACCUGGAAAGGUUACUUCCUUCCGGGCUGCCCACGAGGAUUUCAAUUUAUCCCGUGGUCAGGGGGCAUAAGGUACUAGCGACCAUUUGCAAGUUUUAAAAAAAAGUAGACGAGGAGUGUCAAGAAAAUAAGAGUGGAAGGCUAGAGCAUAACCUUCAAUUUUCUUAGAAGAUUUAGGAGAGUCAAGAAAAUAUAUAGGUUUUUAAGUAUUUUGAAGGAUCUGAAAAGCAGUUUUAUCCUAACUAACGUCUGUGCUAACUAAGGGCUUCCUACAGUCAGGAUGGCUCUGAUACCAGCUCUCUGGGGACCCCGACUUAAGAGUCGAGACCGCCGUGCUCAGUGAUCCCAGAGGUCAAUGCUCACCGAACACAGAUACCGAAUAAAAGAGUCUUACAUCCAUACAUACCGUUUGAUACAAUAAAUGACCACCUCGGUCGAGUCUUACAUAUAUAGUGCCUUAAAGGCCAACGAUCCAAACUGGACCAAUAGCGGAAUUAUUGGUUGAAAGCGUGAACCCAUGCCAUCAGCCUUAACCUACAGGCAUUCUGACUGGGAAGCGUCCUAGCUUGCAUGAACGUCACCAAGUUAAUCUUCACCAUAUCCUGUUCUUUCACACCUGGUCAAUGAAAUAACCAGUGGCAAGCCAAUGAGUACUUUGAAUGUACUCGCAAACCACCCAUGAUAUAAUCAAUGAAAGUGAAGGAUAACAAUAUCAUGCAUCUCUAGUGUAACUCAUCUGGGUGGAAUGAUCAUGAAUAUGCAUCAAGUUAAAGAAUUACUCUUGAACAACAGGUUACAGUUAUCAAUAUAUCUGCCGAGGGCUGAACCAUGCGGGUUCACCCUAUAUGCCAAGUCACCGAACUUGGUCAUAUCAUUGCUAUCAUAGCAACACCUUUCUCAUCACCACACACACACACACUCACGCACACUUGGUUUAUGCGGAAAUAUCAGGACAUAGUUUAAGCAGGAUUACCCAACUGUCCUUGACCGUGGACACGGCUAUUCGAAUAGUUUACACUCUACAGAGGUAGUACGCUGGACCCACAAGAUCCGGGAAACUUCCGUGUCAUCCACGACUCGCGGUAUAUCACAUACCCGAGGUAAGUGCCCGAUCAAUGCCUUUCCCCUGACGAUACUAGACAAAGAGGUCCACUCGAUUGGUACCCAACCCACAUGUUGUAUGUCUUACGAGCACCAACUCUGGACUGUACCAACCAUGCGGGGACCAACGGUGUGACUGGAACUCAUAAAAAUGGCAUAGUCGUCCUACCCGGCACGACCCCAUCACGAGAGUGACCACACAUCACUCCCGUCACUAGUAAUGUGGCUCUUUGCUAGCACCGGCCAGAGUAAUUAACAUAGCCCCGUCCCAUAAGGGGUAUCGUGGUCGUACUGGUAAGGUUGGGACGGUCGACACAUCAUAAAUCUAAUCCCGUUUCCGAAACCUUACUCACACAAAUACCGGGUGCAUCACUUCACCAAAAGUGACCACCUAACUCAUCAUCACCCUCGGGCAUUAGUGGCACCCGAUGGGGUUUUCAUAAACUCUUGCUUUAUGAAAACAUCAUGCUCAUGAUAAUACUACUGCUAUCUUUACUUGUCAACAUGGUAUUAGCAUGACCCUAAGGGGUAGAGUCAAGCUCAAUGCAAAAUAAUCCGGAGGAGCCUUCAGUAAGCUUAUAUCAAACGAUUAUCGGCACUUAUGAUCAUAUGCAAUGGGAAUACUUGCUAUUUUAACAUGCAAAGUAUCAUAUGCUCAGUCAUGGUCAAAGGGCUGCUUGCCUUGCUCAUGUAAGUCCUCGGGGUCUUCGAGGUCUUCCGCUCCAACUCCGAAUACUCCGUCUACCCGUCAACUAUCGUCGGAAACAACCACAGUAAGCCACACAACAAGAAGAAAUAAAAGUGUUCUAAAAAUAGAAGUUUUAUUUUUCUUGGACCUCUGGGGUCAUAGGAAAAGUACCUUAAGCUUGAUAUAGGAUAUUUGGAUCAUCAGGGAAUUUUGAAUGGAUGAAAGGAGGAAUAGGUGACCAUUGAACAAGCCAACAUAAAUCAUUCUGUUAAAAAUGAGUGGAGGCACCCAUUUAACAGAGAAUGAUUUUAGAAAUAUUUAGGAAGUGGGUUCACUGGAUUUCGAGUUGGUAUGAAUAUUCUAGAGAUUUUCUACUAUGGGGUAAUAGCAAUAGGAACCUAUUUAUUAUAAGCAACAGAAUGAAGCUUGAUAAAAAUGUUGGCCAAGGCUCUAAUAUUUGUACAUGAUAUAGGAAGGUUGUGGAAAUUUGAAUCACUCCAAUUGGAGUUGAUCUGAAGCCUAUGGGAUUUUUGAAAGGAAAGCUAGAAGCAUCCCAAAUCUGUAUUUAAAUAUAAAUACAUUAUGAAAGUUGUCUGAAAAAUAUGCAAAGUCAAUAUUUGGAUAGGUCUUUAUUUUUGGGACCUGAAGAAAUUCGAAUCAACAUUUUUGGAGUUAGAAUGAAUUUAUGGAAGAUUUUUGAAGUUUGACCAAAGAGGAAAAGAGAAAGGGCUUAGCCUUGGUUAUCUAACGCCCACGGUGUUGGGUAGGCCUCGGGCCGGCCCAGCUGCCUCACCCUCGAGGAAAGAGGCUACGCUGAAGGCGUAUUAGGCCUGAUGCGCUUCCGUCUUACGGAAGCAGUUUCUGCCAGUGCUGUCUUCACUUGCCCAAGCCUGGACCCACCCGUCAGUGCCUUGCCCCAGAUGGUGGCUGACAGGAGGGCCGUGGCGACAGGUCAUCUUCAAGCUCCCGACGGGGAACGAGGGAGGCCUGGCGAUGGCUGCAGGUGCCUCCGGUCCACUGCUUCGGGCGGGCUGCCCACCGGGGCUCAGGAAGGAGCGCCGCACCCACCUAGGAACCGCUCGUUCGCCGAGGAGAGCCGCCGUGGCGUGGCGUGACUCGUGGCGGGAUCGACCGCCAGCUUAAGGGGUGGAGGAGAUGAUAGAGGGAAUGAAGAGAGAGAGGUGAGGAGCUCUUUGGAGCUUCGGUGCACGGCGAGAGCACGCGUGCCAGGGAGGGUUUGGCAGCUUCUAGGCGUCGGGAUGGGUUGGACUGGUCAAGGGGAGCAUUCUGGCGCGCUGGGGCAUGCUGCUAAGGAGGGGACCGAGCUGCAUAAGGAGAAGAGGGUGCAAAGCACCAAUACUGCAGGCCAGAGUGGUGGUCACCACGGUCACAUGUGCCUACAUGGUCCAAAUGGCCAGUCAAACAUGUCCAACACUCAAGGCACACACGCAGGAGAGUGACUCUGGAGUUUGGUAGCUAGUGGAGGUGGGUUGAUGAGGUUUGGACUCUGGUUAAGUUUGUAGCAGCAAACUUGGGGCUGGCAUAAGUGGUUUUCACAGGAAGGGAUGGGAGGUGAAAGCAUGUCCUGGAGCAUGAGGUAUGGAAGGACUACACAUCUGCAAAAAUUCAGCUCAAGCAAAGAAGUGUAGCUAGCACUUGCUGUACAAAGCUAUAUUCCAGCCAGAAAUCAACUUGAGGAGGUGUUGCUCAUUUUCUCCACAUGAGCAUGUCAUAUCUUUGUUUGAAAUGAAGCAUUGUCACACUAGAGAGGCUCUGGAAGGAAUUGGGAGCCUUGGGUUAAGCAGAAGCAUGGGAAUAGAGGUAAAACAGUGAUCCAAGGGUGAAAAUGAGAGAAAGUUACAAAGGUUCCUUCCCCAAUCAUUGACCAGUGGCCAUGGGAAUGUUAUUGGAGGUCAAAUAUAACUAUGUGAGGCUGUGGUAGAAAGUUGAGCUCAAGGGUAAAAGGGGAAGGGGUCAAAGAAGCCAAAUUAGUGAGUGCACACAAGGUGUUUGAUCUGUGGUUAGGCUACCAGAUGGAUUCCAAUGGCUAUGAAACUUAAGAGGAUCAAAUAAUAGAUGAAAAUAGGCUUGCACACCAAAUUUGGGAUUUGCUGGAGAAGUUUUCCAAUGUAGACUUGAAAAACCCUAGAAAUGGGCACAAAUGGAUUUGUGCUUACAACCCUAUUCAUAUCAAUCCCCACAAAUCCAAUAUUUGGUGUUGGGGCAUUAUUUGAGCAUUAGGGCAUGCACAAAAAGUUUGAGGUUAGUUGGAGAAACUUUAUAAAAGUUCGUCUAUUCUCCUUGAUGUACCACUUGGUGUGGAUGCCUUAUUGGAGUAUUAGAACAUGUCCACCAAGUUUGAGCACAAAUGGAGACACUUCACAAUGUAGAGUUUCUCAAAUUUGAAUUUGGACAGAUAGGAUUUUAGAGUGAUUAUGGAAGCCAAAUCAACUUGGAUUGAAAUGAAACUUUGCAAUAUCAUCAACAAUAUCAUAGAUUACAUGCUAGAAUUUCACUGGAAUUUAUUGAGAAUAUUUCUUAUAGAAAUAUUUCAAAAGCUUGAAAUAGGCAGGAAGGGUUUUGGAGGGUUUUGCCCAAUAUUUUGAACACGACCAUGUGUUGAAACUCAUAUAUAUGGAAUAAAUAUAUCAAGUGAGUUUCCCUAAAUUUUCUUAAAUAUUUUGAAAGCAAUAAAAAUAACUUUCCUUCAUAGGAGACCAUUUCUGGCCUCACAGAAAGGCUUUUAAAUAAAAUAGUAAAAUUACUUUUAAAAUAAUAACAUGGUGGUUUUUGGAAGACAUUUUGAUAAUAGGUUUUAAAUAAAAUAAUUGGUGCAAAAGAAUUUCCUUAAUUUGAGGACUUGUAGUACAAACCUCAUCUGAGGGGUUUGAAGGUUUAAUUCAAAGAAAUGCUUUUUGGUGGAAAUAAUAUUUGGUGAAAAUAGAUAUUUAUCCUAAACACAUGGCAUGAUCAUUAGGCAGGAGGUGAUGGAAUGAGGGGGUGAGUAGGAGGAUGGCAAGACAUAAUGGGGAGCAAUCACAUGCAUUCAAGCAAACAGGCAAACAAUAGUCACUCCAAGCCUCACAAGUAUUCACAAAAACUUUUAAUUGGUCCUAAAUUUUUAAAUAAGUUAAUUAGUCAGGAAGGACAAAAAUUGGGUGUUACACGUUAGCAUGGCCGUCGUGGUUGGGUCUAUUGGGGCGGGGGCGACAGGCCGCUAGCCGGCUGCCGCAGUCCUCGAGUCGGGCGGGAGGGACCCCACGGCAGGGCAGGCAGCCCCCGAGCGGGCUGGAGCAGGGGGUGGGCGAGCUGGAGUCCUAGCUGGUAGUAUGUCGGUAGUCCCCGGGGCCAGCAGCGCAGCCCCGAGGUGUACCGGAACGAAGAUGGACUCGGACUCUAGAGAAGGCGUGAUGGAGGGCUUGCGCAGGUGCUCCAAGGACAAGACGGCUGGGAUGAGCUGUCGGGUGGAGCCAAUCUUCGCCAGCGUGUCGGCGACCUCGUUCCGGCUUGAAGGAUGUGGUGGCAAUCACAGCCCUCGAACCCGUCGAUCAGCUGCUGGACUAGGAAGCGGUAGCUAGCCAUGUUCGCGACUCUGGUGUCCCAUUCGUGAGUGACCUGCUGCACCACAAUGUCGGAGUCGCCAAAGCAGAGGAUGCAUCGGACGCCAAUCUCCUUGGCCAGCCGGAGGCCAUGGGUGAGUGCCUCGUACUCCGCCACGUUGUUUGACGCGGCAAAGUGGAUCUACAACAUGUACUAUAGCCGGUCCCCCUUGAGGGAGGAGAGAACGAUGCCGGCUCCGAUUCCAAUGCGCAUCUUCAAAACAUCGAAGUGCAUGCGCCAAUGGUUGGAGUCGGUAGGCGGCGGCAGUUACUCCGUUUCUGCCGAAUCGACGAGGAAGUUUGCCAAUGCUUGUGACUUGAUGGCGGUGUGAGACUCGUACCUGAUGUCAUGGUCGGCCAGCUGGAGAGCCCACUUGGCGAUGCGACCGGGCGCGUCCUUGGUGACUGGGUGUUCUUGGAAGUAGGGCUUGAGCUUCCAGGCCGCCAAGAACACACCGUAGCACAUCUUCUGGUAGUGCGGGUAGUUUUGCUUGGAGGCAGACAUCAUCUCGCUAGCUCCGAGUGCUGGACGACCAUGACGAUGCUAACGACACGGGUGUUCGCCGCGAUGUAGAGCAGCAUCGACUCGGUGUCUACCGGCGCGGCUAGCACUGGCAUCAUGGUUAGUGCGCACUUGAGGUCUCACACGGCCUCGUCGGCUUCGUCGCUCCAGACGAAGCCUGUGCCUUCUUGAGCAGGCGAUAGAGUGGGAAGGCCUUUUCUCCCAGCUGGUUGAUGAAGCGGCUGAGCGAGGCGAGGCAGCCAGUGACCUUCUCGACACCUACCAGGUUAGUCGGCCGGGCCAUUCGCUCGAUGGACCGAAUAUUCUCUGGGUUCGCCUCGAUCCCUCGUUCGGAAACAAGGAAACCGAGGAGCUGGCCAGCUAGUACGCCGAACACACACUUUUCCCGGGUUCAAACGGAUUUCAAACUCGUGCAGGGUCGCGUAUGUCUCUUUGAGAUCGUCCAGGAGGGUGCGGCUUUCUUUGGUCUUGACCACAACAUCGUCUACGUAGACAUGUACGUUGCGGCCAAGCUGCCUAUAGAGGCAUCGCUGCAUGCAGUGCUAGAACGUGGCACCGACAUUUUUCAGCCCAAACAUCAUCGUAAUGCAGCAAAAUGCCCCAAAGGGUGUGAUGAAAGCUGUUUUGAGCCAAUCGGCUGGAUUUAGCUUGAUCUGGUGGUAGCCUGAAUAGGCUUCCAAGAAGGACAACAACUCGCAACCGGUCGUCGAGUCGAUCACUUGAUCGAUACGGGGCAGAGCAAAUGGAUCCUUGGGGCAUGCCUUGUUUAGCCUCGUGUAGUCGAUGCACAUGCUCCAUGUCUUAUUCUUCUUCAGCACCAGGACGGGGUUUGACAACAAGUCCAGGCUGAAGACUUCCAUGAUGAAGCCGGCUGCUAGCAGCCGGGCAACUUCUUCACCAAUGUUUUUUCGCUUCUCCUCUGAGAAGCGGCGCACGCGUUGCCUGGUCGGUUUUGCGUUUGGCCGGACAUGGAGAAAGUGCUCGGCGAAGUUCCUCAGGACCCGUGGCAUGUCUUUAAGGGACCAUGCGAAGAUAUCCCAAUUCUCACGGAGGAAGUCGACGAGCUCGCUAUCCUAUUUGUCGAUGUGGCCGGCCCCCACAAGAACGUACUUGCAGUGGGGUCAGUCGGGUCAAGAGGGGUCUUCUUGGUGUCCUUGCCGGUGGCCAACUGGCUGCUUCUGCUUAGGUCGGUUCCAGUAGGCCUUUGCAGCCGGGUGCUUUAGCUUGGGCUCGGGCAUGGCCGCCGGCUCGUGGGCGAGAGCCACGAGCCGGUCGAUCUGUCGCCGCUCCUCGGCGAUCUUGAGCGACUCGGCCAGCUUGGAGCCGGCCAGAGCGCACUCGGUUGACUUCUUGUAGUUGCCAACGACGGUGAUGAUUCCAUGUGGGCCUGGCAGCUUCAUCUUUAGGUAGGCAUAAUGUGGGACCGCCAUGAAUUUAGCAAGGGUCGACCGACCCAAGAUGGCCUGGUAGGAGCUGGUGAGGUUGACGACCUCGAACCAGAUCGGCUAGCGGCAGAAGUUCUUGGUGAGCCGAACAGCAGGUACAGCCGGACCUUGCCAAUCGGUUAGCAAGAAUGGUCGGGGACGAUGUCGUGGAACACCGUCCGGGUCGGCUGGAGCUCAAAAUCCAUAAUGCCGAGCUUCUCCAUGGUGUCGCGGUAUAGGAUGUUGAUGUUGCUACCACCGUCGACGAGCACCCGUGUGAAGCGGCACGUGCACCGUCGGGAGACGGAGGUGAGAUCUAGAACUAGCACGUAGCCGCCUAGCGUCGACAUCACAGCCGGAUGGCCCCAUGUGAUGGGCUUGUCCGACGAGUGCAUGUAUUGGGGGACCAGCGGGACGAUGGCGUUGACCUCUAGCACGCGGUUGCGCUGGUUGUGCUUGUCGUCAUGUUCGCUAGUGAAGAUGACGUAGGUUGCAUCCUGAUAAGGGUAUUUGUCGCGGGUCCCGUCGGCUCCCGAAGUGGAAGGUGGCACAGGCGGCAGGGACUCACCACGCGCGAUCUUGGUGAACCAGCUGCACUAGCAAGCAGUGUGCGUCACAGGCUUGGCCCCACUGUGGAACUUGCAGUGCCCGUCGAGCAUGGCGUCGUAGGUGUAGUUCGCUUGCCAUGGUUCCUUGCCUUCGUUGGUGCGCUGGCACCGGCUAGAGCCUUGGUCGUCAGCCAUGCGGCCGUCCUUGACGGUCGCGACCUGUCGAGUACCCUGGCGGGCGUCGGGCUAGUGCUCCUUGCGCUUUCCUUGAUCUGGCUGGGAUAGUCCGGCUGCUCGCGCGACAGCCGACUUAGACACAGACGUCUUUCCGGACGCGUCGACGAGCACGGGGAGCUUCAUGGAAUACUCGGCUACGGCAUACUAGUUGACGACGGCCAUCAGUUGCGCGAGGAUUGAGGGUUCCCAGUGCAUGAGCUUGUGCUUGAGGAGGGUGCCGUCUCGGCAGUCGUUGAUGAAGUACUCGACCGCCUGCACUUCAUUGACGCCCUCACACGAGUUGCGGAGCUCGGUCCACCGCAUGAGGUAGUCGCGGAGUGGCUCAGCCGGGCCCUGUAUGCACAGGGCGAGCAGUCGGGGCCAACUAGGGCGCUUGUACGUGCCGGUGAAAUUGCACACAAAUGCCUCAUGGAAGUCUAGCCAGCCGUUUACGUUGCUAGCCGAUAGGCUGUUAAGCCAGGUCUAGGCCGAGCCGAGCAACAUGAGGGGCGCAUAGCAUACUACUACACGCUUGUUGACGUCGGCGAUGCCGACGGCGGUGGUGUAGUCGGUCAACCAGUCAUCGGGCUUGGUUGAGCCAUUGUACUUGGGGGUGUCGCGGUCCAAGGUGAAGCCCUUGGUGAAAGGCUCCUUGAGGAUGCGCGGCCCGAAGCACAGCGGGCCGAUAGUGCCUUCCUCCACGGUUGCGCGGGAUUGGGCGAGACGCUCCAGACAGAAAUGUGCGUCGUGUUCGGCCAGCUGGCGCACGCUGAUUCGCUCGCACGCCGGCACGCGGGGCGUGCUACUGCAACAAAAGACCUUCCAAUAGUGCCACAAAUAGGCACGUCGACGGGAGAAUACUUGGCUUGAUCCUUCUGCUGCAGCUAUGCCUUAAGGGACUUCCUAGGCAAGUAUGCAAAGGAUUUCCCCCGUGGCCUUGGAGCCUUGUGUUGGUUUUCCCUCGAAGCGGAAAGGGUGAUGUAGCGUAGCGGUGGUAAGUAUUUCCCUCAGUUUCACAACCAAGGUAUCAAUCCAGUGGAGGAGUAUCUCAAGAUCCUGCACAAACUCAAAAUCUUGCUCCCAACGCUAUCUAGGGGUUGUCAAUCCCUUAUAGAUUGUUUGCCAAGUGAGAACUGAAAGCAACAAAGUAACAAAGCAAAGUAAAAGCGGAGGUGUAAACGAUGGAUGUGAAUAGACCCGGGGGCCGUAGUGUUUACUAGUGGCUUCUCUCAUGAAAGCAAGUAGACGGUGGGUGAACAAAUUACUGUCGAGCAAUUGAUAGAACCGCGCAAAGUCGUGACGAUAUCUAUGCAAUGAUUAUAUCUAUAGGCAUCACAUCCAAAACAAGUAGACCGAUAGUUUCUGCAUCUACUACUAUUACUCCACACGUCGACCGCUAUCCAGCAUGCAUCUAGUGUAUUAAGUCCAUAAGAACAGAGUAACGCCUUAAACAAGAUGACAUGAUGUAGAGGGAUAAUAUCAAACCAAUGAUAAAAACCCCAUCUUUUCACCCUUGAUGGCAACUACUUGAUGUGUGCCUUGCUGCCCCUACUGUCACUGGGAAAGGUCACCACAUGGUAGAACCCAAAACCAAGCACUUCUCCCAUUGCAAGAAUCAUAGAUCUAGUUGGCCAAACAAAACCCAAGACUCGGAGAGACUUACAAGGAUAUCAAAUCAUGCAUAUAAGAAAUCAGCAAAGACUCAAAUAUAUAUCAUAGAUAAUCUGAUCACAAAUCCACAAUUCAUCGGAUAUCAACAAACACACCGCCAAAGAAGAUUACAUCGGAUAGAUCUCCAUGAAGAUCAUGGAGAACUUUGUGUUGAAGAUCCAAGAGAGAGAAGAAGCCAUCUAGCUACUAACUACGGACCCGUAGGUCUGAAGUGAACUACUCACGAGUCAUUGGAGGGGCGAUGAUGAUGAUGAAGAAGCCCUCCAACUCCAAAGUCCCCUCCGGAAGGGUGCCGGGAAGGGUCUCCAGAUGAGAUCUCGUGGAAACGGAAGCUUGCGGCUGCGGAAAAGUAUUUUCGAGGCUCCCCUGAUUUUUUGCUGAAUUUUUGGGAAUAUAUAGGCCAAGGAUCUAGGUUAGGGGGUGGCUAGGGAGGCCACAAGCCCUGCCACCGCCGCCUCCCCCUGGUGGCGGAGUGGGGGCUUGUUCCCUGGAGCCCACCUGGCUUGGCCCAGAGGCCCCCUGAUCUUCUUCCGUUCGGGAACAAAUCAUUUCGGGGUUUUUAUUCCGUUUGGACUCCGUUCAAAAAUCAGAUCUGAAAAGAGUCAAAAACACACAAAAAACAGGAACUGGCACU
rnacentral:lncRNA from 1 species